rnacentral:lncRNA from 1 species
UUCAUCACCCCUUGUAUAUUAAAUUCUGGAAGAACAUAAAGCAGUACUCUACAAUUUCUUGUUAGCUAUGGUGUUAAUACUUGUGUCUUGAAACUACAGGUACAUCCUGGAGGGCAAGGAGCUGGAGUUCUACAUGAGGAAGCUCCAGAAGAAGAAGGGCAAGGGUGCCACAGCUUAGGCUGAAGAGCUGCUGCAUGUUACUCGUUGGAUUUUCUUAGAUGUUGCGUCCAUGUCAUGUUUGCAGACAUACUGAACACCAUUUUCUGUAAACGGUUCGAGUCCUAGGUUGAACUGAGAAUGUUUUGCCUGUUUUGGUUGUGAUCUAAAGCUAUCCAGAUUCUAUUAUGUGUUCUACCUUGCAGUAUUUUCAUCUGUUCAGUGAAGUUUUGAUCUUGAGUCUCCAUGUUGAUUUGCUGCCAGCUUUGCCUUUCAGGCAUGUUAGAUUUGUAUGGUUCCUGCAGUUGCAAAGGACCCAUCCAGUGUGAAAACCCGAUCAUGUAUGCAAAGCAAUUUUGAUCAUGGAAUCUGCACAAUUGUUGGCUAUUUUUCUUUCUGGAGAUAGACGAUGACUAGCCGCUACCCCAGCCUGUGCUAAUUCUCGGUAGUGUAGGCGCUUUGCGCGGCUCUCCAUGCCUUUGUAUUCGGUGGUUUUCAUUUUCUGUUACAGGAUUUCUCGCUGCCUCUGGAGUCUGUCAAAAGUGUUACACCUAUUAAAUCCUGUUGUCAGAGCUUUGGUUGUUCAUGUGUCAAGCCUUGUGUGCCCAUUCUUUUUGAAGGUGGUUGAGAGAAACACUUGAGAAGAACUAUCACUGAAGGAAGAUAGCUAUGGAGGGGAGAUCUAGAGAGGUAGUCUUCUCCAAAUUAUUAGAGAUGGAAGUCUUGAAUCCUUGAUGGAUCUUCUCCAAAGGAGGCCAUUUCCAAUUAAGUUAUCGAUGAGCAAAGCCAAGUAAUUCUAUUAUGCUUUCAUAACACAAAAAAAAAAGAGGUGCACGAAAUAUAGUCUAAGAACAAAAAGGCAUGGGCUAUGGCUUGAGCCCCGAAACUGCGUGCAUUAGUGCUACCGCACCAAAGUAGAGUAUUUUCUGGGAGCUCCAGCGACUGACCGGACAGUUUCGUGUCUUGUCCGUCCAGGGAAGAUGGGUCGCGCACGCAUGGUUAGGUGUGGCUAAGGUUACAUGCAAGAGAGAAAGAAAAGAAGCUGAAUUUUUUUUACACGGAUAUCUUAAGGAUAUAGCAUGACUCAGACUUAGUAAGUUGUCUGAGACUUAGCAAUGACCGGAUAGUCUCAGUCCGGGGGGGCAGGCCUGAUCUGUCAAUACAUCCUUUAUAGGAGUUGAUCUGUCAAUACAUCCUUUAUAGGAAUAAUAUGUGAAUUAUACAAUGUCAUCUUGUUUAACCACACAUUAUUUAUAUGAAUUAUGCAAUGUCAUUCCAUUUAGUCAGACAUCAUAUAUGUGAAUUAUGUGGUAUCAUCUUUUUUUUCCAUUACAUAUUUCAUUUGAUAACAAUUUUGUAUUUUUAAUUACUCUUCCUGUGUAUCAACCAUUUGAAUGGGCAAUGGAAAAAUCUGAAGUGAAAAGAAGGUCUUUAGAGCAGACAAUGAUACCUGUCGAAGCAGAUGUUUGGCCGGUUACAGAUAGCUCAUCAGAGUAGUAUUCAGAGAUAGAUGACCAGUNNNNNNNNNNNNNNNNNNNNNNNNNNNNNNNNNNNNNNNNNNNNNNNNNNNNNNNNNNNNNNNNNNNNNNNNNNNNNNNNNNNNNNNNNNNNNNNNNNNNNNNNNNNNNNNNNNNNNNNNNNNNNNNNNNNNNNNNNNNNNNNNNNNNNNNNNNNNNNNNNNNNNNNNNNNNNNNNNNNNNNNNNNNNNNNNNNNNNNNNNNNNNNNNNNNNNNNNNNNNNNNNNNNNNNNNNNNNNNNNNNNNNNNNNNNNNNNNNNNNNNNNNNNNNNNNNNNNNNNNNNNNNNNNNNNNNNNNNNNNNNNNNNNNNNNNNNNNNNNNNNNNNNNNNGAUCUGGUGCACCAGAUGCUCCAAUAUCUCCUGGGCUACUAGAUGCGGAAGGAAGGCACCUGAUCCAUCUACGAGGAAUCCUGCUGGCACAUUUACAAAACGGAUCCGAGGUGCAGUUAAAUCUAGCGAAUCGACUCCCCCGAUUCAGUUCGUCUCUCUCCCGUCGCCUUUUCCUUUACCACCGGACCAGGCUGAGAUAGGGUUACACAAAAUGGGGAAUCGGCUCUCUCUCUCGAUCCAAAUCAUGUGGUCCACCCGCGGCUCGAUGCGAUCAAUUGUGUCUGCAUAGCGGCGCCACACCUCCGGAGAUAUUGACACUACGGUUGAAUCGAAGCUGGCCAUCAUCCUUUACAUCAGGUGAUCAGAGGUAUGGGCAUGAAUUUGAUUCUUCUAUUUUCCAUGUGCAUCCAUAGUUAGUUCUUCCGCUCAUCAGUUUCCCCAAUUUGUCUAAAACGAGUGGCAUUUGGGAAUAUGAAUGCAUAGAAGGGGAAUUGCUAAACCUAGGUUCACAUAUAUUUUUGGAUUUGGUUUCUCUUAUUGUUACUGUCGUUUGUAGCCAGCCUGCUAUAUGUCAUCCUCAUGUGACAAUUUUUGAACUCUGCAAAGCACCAUUUAAUCUUUUCCUCUGUGUUUUAUUGCUCUGUACUUUAGCAUAAUCCAUAAUAUAUAUUUUUCGCAGCAGCAUCAGAAAUUCUUGCUCUGUACUAUAGCAAGUUCAUAAAAAAAUUCUUGCACCAUAAUUUAGCAAGUGAGAACAACUGCAACAGUUCAAGAAUCUUGCGCAUAUUUGCUUCUUCCUUUAGCCAUCUGUCAAGUUCAUAUUCUAUUCUUAUAAUUCAUCACCACUGUCUUCCUAAUUCAUUGAAUUAAUGGUUGGGAGAUAUUGUGACUAAUGUUGUUCCAGUUGACUUAAAUGCAUUAUGUUGUUGAUCGAAACUAGGAAUGGUGUGACUGUUUGAGGAUGCAUGAGCUACAAGUUUACCCUCAUAAUCUUAUCCUCUUUCACAACAGUUUGAAUGAAAAAAAAAUGAUGUGCUCUCUAUUCUGUUUCUUGGUUUUUACAAAUUUAAAUAGUAAGUGCACUUACGAUGUCCAAUUUGAAAUUUGUAAAAGCAGUACUACUUGUUUCUGAUCCUGAUUUUAUUUUACAGCAAUCCUCCAAAAAGUAACACCUUUGAUAUGUGCUGCUUGCCUGCUUGUUAGUAGGGCAGUCAUCUUACUUGUUCCCUGCAGCUCUUGAAUGACUAUGUAUUGUGUGAUAAGGACCACAAAAGGCUUCUUUUAAUCAUGAAUCCACAAGGAUUUUAGGAGUACGAAGUAAGACCAAAUACUACUGAAAGUUUCAGCAAUACAGAGAUUAAUCUUUGUCCAACAUAUCGUUUUGUUUAUAUUUUUGUAUGUACAUCUGAAACCUGAUGUUUAUGUAUUUCGGGUCCUCUCUGAAUGUUCAGCUACAUGUUCAUCUCUAGAAAAAAAUUGCCUGUUGUCCAAGCUAGUGUUCGAGUUGAUUUUUUUCUCCUUUUGCAGGUUGUGGCAUCUCUUUCAGCUGGUCAGAAGAGCUUCAAUACAUAAUGGUGGUUUAGUUAUUAAACUCUGAAUGCUUCAGUACACAAUGGGACCUAUCCAAAUAGAUGUAUGAGUGGGGGAACAAUUGCAGAUACAGGAGUUCGACAAUGUUGACGUAGAGUUGGGCCUCCCUGUUGGAACAACCAAACCCAAGAUGUCUGAUCUUAUGCCCCUGGUUGAUUGUAUGGAAAGAAGAAUGUCUGCCAGCUAAUCCUUUCUCGCUCAAGGUGGGAGAUUGCAAUAUUUGAACUCUACUCUAUCCUCAUUGCCUAUUUUCUUCCUCUGUAGUUUGCUAAUCAACCCAGGCAUUCUGAAGCAACUACAAAGAAUUCAGAGACAAUGUCUUUGGAGGAAAAACAGGCAAGAACCUGCUCCCUCCCUUGCUGCUUGGGAGCUUAUUUGUAGGCCAAAGAACAAAGGAGGGCUGGGCAUCUUAAACCUGGGUAUACAAAAUGCUGCCCUUCUCAUGAAACACCUACACAAGUUCCUCAGUAGAGCUGAUAUUCCUUGGGUUAAUCUUAUUUGGAACUCCUACUACCAUGAAUUAGUGCCCCAAGGAACUGCACCUUGUGGCUCCUUUUGGUGGAAGGACAUACUCAAGCUGCUUGAUCAAUUCAGAGAAUUUUCCUGGGUCCAGGUUAACCAAGGAGAUUCUGCUUUGUUCUGGUUUGAUAAAUGGAAAAUUGGUGAUUCAGUGCUGCCUUUGCAGAACAAAUUUCCAAGGCUUUUUUUUCUUAUGCUAAUGACCCCAUGGUUUCUGUUAAAGAUGGCCUUCUUUGUUUUGAUCUCAUUGCCUGGUUUAAUCCCCCUCUGUCCAAGCAAGCUUUUCAGGAAUUCAACUCUUUGCAGUCCCUCAUUGUUUCCCAUGAGAGGAAUCCCAACUCUAAGGAUGUCUGGUUUUGGCAUGGUUCUGUUAAGCCAUAUACUCCAAAGUUUUUUUACACUGCCAUGCACUCUCACCUCUCCUUUAACCCAUUACUUUUAUGGGUAUGGAAAAGUUGCCGCACGAUGAAAAUCAAUUUUUUUGCUUGGAUGCUUAUUAUGGACAGAUUGAACACUAAGGAUAUGAUGGAGAGAAGGCACUGGCAUAUUGAUGAUGGUAUUCAAUGUGUGCUCUGUCCAACUCAGGCUCGGGAGGAUAGAGAUCAUCUUUUCUUCACAUGUAACUUCAGUCAGCGUGUAUGGAACUACUUGCAGAUUGAUUGGGGUCUGGGCUUUACUAUGUCUGAAGUUACUAUGCAAGCUAUGAGGGAUUUUGCCAAGCCUUUCUCUGCUGAGGUGGUCUUUACUGCUUGCUGGAAUAUAUGGUUGAUCAGAAAUGGAAAGGUGUUUAGGAAGGAAAGGCCCAGUUUCAACCGUUGGAGGGGUGCUUUUAUUGAUGAUAUGUCUCUCCUUGCCCAUAGAAUCAAGCCUAGGCUCAAGGAUGAUCUAGUUAGAUGGGUGACUUACCUGCCCCCUUGAUGUAUACAUUCUUUUUUCUGUUGUAAUUAGGUGAGUAGUUUCCCCCUCCCCCUCCCCCUCUUUUUUCUUUUGUUGGUUGCUCUUGGUAACCACUUGUAAAUACUGUAUUUUUGUGGAAUAAAAUUGCAAAGGUCGUGGGGUGUUUCCCUAUAGUUCCCAGUCAAAAAAAUGUUGACGUAGAGCAAGAACACUCCUGUUUAAUUAGAAGGAUUUUUUCGAACAAUUUUUUCCUUGUGAAUUUAAUUACCUUGUGGAUACACUCAAUUCUGAACCGUUGUGUAUAUGAGAGUAAUAUAAUGUACAUAAAACUACUUUAUGGUGUUUUUGCAUCCCUGGUUAACAGUGCAUGGACACCCUUUUUAUGUGAAAACUUUCCAUUUUACAGAAAGUCAUGCUCAAAAUUUUCUCUAUAACACAACUCAUAUGAUUUUUUACAUGAAGCGUUGAGUGGUAGAGGAAAGGUUGAGAUCUAGAAGAGAGCAACAAGAACAAAAAAUAUCUAACUCGUUGGUACUGUGGUACAGAACCGACCAAGGAAGAGCGAUGAGUUGGCUUCAGGAGAAUGCAUCACUGAUUCCAUGAAACAACAAGGGUUAUUUUGUAAAUGUGCCACAAGAUACUGGAGCAUCUAGUGCACCAGAUCGCUCGGUGCAUAGGAUACGUUCUCCGAGGGGGGGGGGAGGGGGUCUCCGGAUCCACACACGUGGAUAGUUUUAGAGCAAAGUAGCUUGGUUUUAGGAUGGUCAUCGUCUUGGCUUCGGCGACGGUGAUGGUGGCGCUGAAUAAAAUUUCUUCAUAUUCUACUCCAAUGAGAUGUUGGUCCUAUGGUUGGGGGUGGAUUUGGAAUCCAGUCUGUUCAAGUAAGGAUGGUGUGGUGGCGGCAUCAUCAUGGUGGAUCUAUGUCCUCGGGUUUCGCCAUUGCAAUGACGUUUGCUCCAACUCCAGCAUGGAGCUUGGAAGGUAGUCUAGGAGCAGAUGCAGAUUGUGGUCUGCAUCGACGACAUCUAGAAGACGGUGGAUCGUGUGCUGGGUUCGUGGUACGUGGAUGACAUAUAUGGUUUCCUCCGACAUCUUAGUCAUGUGGGGGUGCUAGAUCUGGAGUUCGAUGGCGUGUCCGAGGUGUUGCCCCGGUCUGAUUCAUUUAAUGAUAAUGGUUUCGCCUUUGGCGAGCCACCUUAGUGGUACGCAAAGCUGCAUAUCAGCGAUGGAGCCAUGUUGUAACGCCCUCGAUGCGGCUAUAUCUCCUACGUGUCGAAGCACGACUUAGAGGCAUAACCGCAUAGAAAGCAAUGUCGCAAGUGAGGUAAUCUUCACAACAACCCAUGUAAAUAAAUAAAGGGGAAAGGUACAUAGUUGGCUUACACUCGCCACGUCACACAAAUACAUAAAAUAAGUCAUUACAUUCAUCCAAUACACUCAGGUUCCGACUACGGAACCAAAAUAAAGAUCAACCCCCAAAUGCGACAAAGUCCCCGACCGCUCCAACUGGGCACCACUACUGAUCAUCUGGAAAAGAUACGUAGUAACUACGAGAGUCUUCAUCGAACUCCCACUUGAGCUCGGUCAUAUCACCUGGAGUGGUAUCAUCGGUCCCUGCAUCUGGUUUUGGAAGUAAUCUGUGAGUCACGGGGACUCAGCAAUCUCACACCCUCGCGAUCAAGACUAUUUAAGCUUAUAGGUAAGGUAAAGGUAUGAUGUGGAGCUGCAGCAAGCGACUAGCAUAUAUGGUGGCUAACAUACGCAAAUGAGAGCGAGAAGAGAAGGCAAAAGCACGGUCGAACAACUAUGAUCAAGAAGUGAUCCUAGAACAACCUACGUCAAGCAUUACUCCAACACCGUGUUCACUUCCCGGACUCCGCCGAGAAGAGACCAUCACGGUUACACACGCGGUUGGUGCAUUUUAAUUAAGUUAAGUUUCAGGUUACCUACAACCGUACAUUAACAAAUUCCCAUGUGCCCAUAACCGCGAGCACGGCUUUCGAAAGUUCAAAUCCCUGCAGGGGAGUCCCAACUUAGCCCAUCACAAGCUCUCACGGUCAACAAAGGAUAUUCCUUCUCCCAAGACAUUCCGAUCAGACUCGGCAUCCUGCUUACGAGACAUCCUCGACAAUGGUAAAACAAGUCCAGCAACACCGCCCGAAUGUGCCGACAAAUCCCGAUAGGAGCCGCACAUAUCUCGUUCUCAAGGCACACUCAGAUAAGCAAUAUGUACAACUAAAACCAGCCCUCGAGUUUCCCCGAGGUGGCGCUGCAAGGGGCUCUAGUAUGGACCAACACUCAGAGGAGCACUGGCGGGGGGGGGGGUUAAUAAAGAUGACCCUUGGGCUCCGGAAACCCAAGGGAAAAAGAGGCUAGGUGGAAAAUGGUAAAACCAAGGUUGGGCAUUGCUGGAGGAGUUUUAUUCAAGGCGAACUGUCAAGGGGUUCCCAUUAUAACCCAGCCGUGUAAGGAACGCAAAAUCCGGGAACAUAACACCGAUAUGACAGAAACUAGGGCGGCAAGAGUGGAACAAAACACCAGGCAUAAGGCCGAGCCUUCCACCCUUUACCAAGUAUAUAUGUGCAUUAAGAUAAACAAGAUAAUAUGGUGAUAUCCCAACAAUAAACAAGUUCCAACAAGGAACGAUCUCCAAUCUUCACCUGCAACUAGCAACGCUAUAAGAGGGGCUGAGCAAAGCGGUAACAUAGCCAAACAACGGUUUGCUAGGACAUGGUGGGUUAGAGGUUUGACAUGGCAAUAUAGGAGGCAUGAUAAGCAAGUGGUAGGUAUCGUAGCAUAGGCAUAACAAAAGAGCGAGCAUCUAGCAAGCAAAGAUAGAAGUGAUUUCGAGGGUAUGGUCAUCUUGCCUGCAAAGUUCUCAGAGUUGCCUUGAUCCUCGUAAGCGUACUCAACGGGCUCCUCGUUCACGUACUCGUCUCCCGGCUCUACCCAAGUAAGAACAACAAGCAAAAAGGAACACAAUCAACCACGUGCAAAGCUCAAACAACAUGGUGCAAACAUGGUAUGAUAUGCGGGAUGCGAUAUGUGAUGCAUAUGCAAGAUUUACAAAGGAAUGAUUGAACCUGGCCUCAGCUUGGAAAUCCAAGAGUUCCACUAGAAAGGUGAGUUAAUUUCGGUCGAAAUUGAUAUAAAGAUCACCGGAAUCGGAUGCACGGUUUGGAAAUGGCAAGCAAAACAAAUAUGGCACCGGUCUGUGAUAAUCAGCACGAGACCAUCUAAAUGCAUCAAGAACAACAUGCUACAACACUCCAACAUGACAACAAAAUACAUGGCAGGGAUCCACUCAUGAUGCUUGACAAAAGAUGAACACUGAGCUACGGCUAAUUCACUCACUAACAUGUUCAAACAAGCAUGACAAAAGUGCAACAGAUAACAGGUUUCAGACUUUGUGUAACAAGUCAGGAAUUUAUCAUCAGGAAGCAAACUUUAUAGCACGAAAACUACAUGCUACAGGAACAUAUCAUGGCAAAGCAAGGCAUGUAAUGAAGCUACUCAAAGCAUAUAACAAAAGUCCCUUAGUGAUCAUGAGCCAAAAUGGAUCAGAAAAUACAAUUGCAAGCAUGUGAACAUAACAAAAACAUAAACAGAUUCAGACUUAGUGAAAAACUGGAGCAUGGCAAAACAGAUAACGAGUAGGCAUGUUUACAAGCUCGAUGCACUCACUACGAGGCAUUGCAUGACAAACUAAGCAUACAACCAGCAAAUAGACAUGGCAUAGAAGUUAGACAUGGCAAGAACAACAACAUAGCAUGCAUGGAUCAACUACAACAAGCUCGGCCAAAUCGCUAAACAAGUUAACAAUCUGCCAGGAACAUUUUAUAGCAAAAGUAGAGCUCGAUUGACUAAAGUUAGGGUGCUCCAUAAUUGCAAACAAAUAAAUGGAUGGAUAGAGCACAACAUUAUCUACAAAACAUCCUUACUGAUCAUGCUCAAAAGAGGCACGGAUCACUAGGAAACAACAUGAACAUGUGGCAUAAAAAUAAUGACAGGGCAAGGACUGUGAAAUUCUAAGUCCCUAAAAUUAGCAUCAUUGAGUAAGCUACUUUUCAUGCUUGUGCUAGUCACCACAAAGAUCACAAAAUACAUGGCAUACACCCCUGUAGAGAUGACAUGUCAUUCUACAAAACACAUGUAGAGCUCAGGAUCAUAGCAUGCACACAUUAAUCAUGGCAACAAUGACAAAAGUGCAUUUGCUGAAACAUAUAUGAAAUUAUCCUCACAUAGCUCUCUUCCAAAAACAUUUCGAGCAUCAAGAUGAGCUCAAAUGAAAAUGAUGCAAUGAGAUGAAAUGAUGUACUCGUCGAGUCGAACAUUUUGAUAUGCUACACGCGUGAAUCGGAGCUAUGAUGAGGGAGUUAUGGCAUGUGUAAGAAUGCAAAAAUGCUAGGGUUAGAGACGAAAAAGUCAACCCCGAGAUCGUCUCAGAUCUGGAUCCAGCCGGGCCGGUACUGUAGCAGCUGCACGGAGAUCGAGGAUGGCCGGCCGGAGUUCGCGACGGAACAGGGACUUGGGGCGCCGGAGUAGGAGGGAGAGGCGGUGGAGGCCGGAGCCUGGGACGACGCCGGCGAGAUCGGGCGGCCCACGGGCGCGGACAUCGAGACGAGGCGGCGGCAAAGCGGUGCGGCCGCGGCGAGGGACGACGNNNNNNNNNNNNNNNNNNNNNNNNNNNNNNNNNNNNNNNNNNNNNNNNNNNNNNNNNNNNNNNNNNNNNNNNNNNNNNNNNNNNNNNNNNNNNNNNNNNNNNNNNNNNNNNNNNNNNNNNNNNNNNNNNNNNNNNNNNNNNNNNNNNNNNNNNNNNNNNNNNNNNNNNNNNNNNNNNNNNNNNNNNNNNNNNNNNNNNNNNNNNNNNNNNNNNNNNNNNNNNNNNNNNNNNNNNNNNNNNNNNNNNNNNNNNNNNNNNNNNNNNNNNNNNNNNNNNGCGCGCGCGAUGGAGAGAUGCGGCGCGGGGCGCGGCCGGAUGGGCCUCGGGAGGGCCCGGCUUGGGCUCUCCAGGCCGGCGAUGUGGGCACGAGGCGGCGUCCAAUCGCGUCGUGACACAUGGCGGCGGCGGGUCAGGUUGGACGUGUCCGGCCUGGCGGACUUCGUCCGGCGGCGCGAGGAGGGGGAAGGAGCUAGGGUUUGCCCGAAAAUUUCGGGGAGUGGCCUUUAUAUAGAGGUAGAGGGAGCUAGGAAGCUCCAAAUGAGGUGUGGUUUUCGGCCACGCGAUUGUGAUCGAACGCUCUAGAUGAUGGAAUAGGUUUAGGUGGGUUUUGGGCCACAUUGGAGGGGUGUUGGGCUGCAACACACACGAGGCCUUUUCGGUCCCUCGGUUAACCGUUGGAGUAUCAAACGAAGUCCAAAUGACACGAAACUUGACAGGCGGUCUACCGGUAGUAAACCAAGGCCGCAUGGCAAGUAUCGGUCCAAUCCGAAAACGUUUAACACCCACACAUGAAAAGAGGUAGAAAGGACCACCGGAGGACAUAGGAGCGCCGGAAUGCAAAACGAACAACGGGGAAAAUGCUCGAAUGCAUGAGACGAACACAUAUGCAAAUGCAAUGCACAUGAUGACAUGAUAUGAGAUGCAUGACAAAGACAAAACACAGGAGACAAAAACCCAACAAUGAGGAAAUAGAAUAACUUAGUACCGGAAACGACAAGAGUUGGAGUAUAAAUAAGGUAAAUUACAUCCGGGGUGUUACACAUGUCCAGCUCAAGUGUGGAGGUGAUCCGUCAUUUUUUUGGUGGUUGUUGUGGUGGUGCUAGAGGCAGGUGACAGGCGUUGGUGUCAAGCUGAGAGGUUUCUUCGGUCUUGUUUGUAAAUUUACUUCUUGGUUGUUGUUCAUUUGUGCAAAGGCUAGUGUUCUGAUAUUUGUUUAGUUUUGCCAGGUUGGUAUGUAUGUGGCUUGUACUGUAAUCCUUAUGAUAUAAAUGAGAUACUUAUUACCAUGCAAAAAAGAUAUGCUGCUCAUACCAUGCAUGUGGUGUCUUGUAUUGUUUAGUUUAGACAUUAUAUACAUACAUUUCAGUUCCAUCUGCUUAGUUUAGACAUCAUAUAUGCAAAUGACAUUUCCUUCGUAUAUAAAUCAUAUAUGUGAAUUAUAUCAUUUCAUCAUGGUUACCUAGACAACAUGUAUGUGAAUGUGUCAUGCCAGGCUAUUUAGUAAGACAUCAUAUAAUUAUGCCAUGUCGUUCUGUUUAGUUAGACAUCAUAUAUAUGACCGUCAUGAUAUUCUGUUUAGUUAUACAUCAUAUAUGUGAAAUUAUGUCAUGCUAUCUGAUACGUAUCAAGCGUAUAUAUAAUUUUUGUUGUUUCAUGCUAUUAUAUUAUUAAAUAUUUGUUAGCAAUUUAUAUUAUUUUGUGAACUAACCUAUUAAUUUAGUGCCUAGUGUCAGUUUUGUUUUAUGCUUGCUUUUGAUUUUGCAGGAAACCAAUAUCUACGGAGGCCAGAAUCACUUGCAGAUUUAAUAUGAUUUUUUGGGAAACAAGUAGCACUGGGAUCUUAUGAGAGAACAAGACGAUCAGAAGGGGGCUCACAUGGCCACCCCAUGCGGCCACGGGGAUAGGCCGCACGCACCUGUGCAGGUGGGGCCCAUCUGCACUACCUUAUGUCGAUUCCACCGUCAUAAAUUCCUUUAAUACCAAAACCCUCUGCCAUCUCUUUAGAAUAAUUUUAUGGCUGCCUCAAGUUUCUAUUUUGCGAAGAUCCCGUUUGGAGGCCUACUCUAGAGUUCUGUCGGAGGUGGAAGCCAUUACCGGAUUCUUCUUCAUCAAAUUUGCUGCCUCCAUGAUGAUAUGUGAGUAGUCCCAUCAGGACCUUAGGGUCCAUAGUAGUAGCCAGAUGACUCACUUUUUGGAUCUUCAAUACCAUGUUCCCGUGAGCUUCUCACAUGAUCAGGAUCAAUUCGAUGUAAUCAGUGGUGUGUUUGUUGGGACACGAUGAAUUGUCACCUUAUAACUAGAUUGUUCAUUGAAAUCAACUGAAUCUUUUGAGAUUUUAUUUGCUGUAUAAUUAAAUAGCUUUUCAUGCUCUCCAAUCUAUCUAUCUUCUUUGUCCAACUUCGAUGUUUUUUUCAGAAGGAGUACUGAUGCUUUUUGGUGGGUUCAAUCUUGCGGUGCUCUAACCCGGUGACAAUAAGGGCCAAGGCAUGUAUUGUAUUAUUGUCACCAAGGGUAAAACGAUGAGCUUUUGUCAUGUUGAUUGGCUUCUUCUUGUCUACAUUAUGUCAUCUUUCUUAUUGGCAUACUUAGUUUCUUGCAAACUUAAUACCUUGAGAUAGUGGUUUUGGGGUGGAGUAUUAGUAGUAGAUGUAAUUGGAUUAACGGUCCACUAUAAUGGACAUAAUGCCUACAUGAGAUUAUGAAUGAUCAUAGUCAUAAAAUAUUGCAAUUCGGUCAAUUGUCCAACUGUAAUUUAUUUACCAUGCUACUUGUUGUUUUCGAGAGAGAUGUCACUAGUGAACCUAUGGUCCAUGGGUCUAUUCUUCAUUACUGAAUUCUUCUACAUAAUUGCUAUUUACUGUUUGUCGUUCUCGCCUUGCUACUAUUUUCCUCUAUCACUUGUGUACCUUGUAACUAGCAAGACAAGGGGCUUGACAACCCUCUUGCUGUGUUGGGGAAAAGUUUGUUUGUGCCAUGUGUGUAUGUGUUGUUGACUUGUCUAGCUUGGUGAUUGCUUGUAUCUGCGUUGGUAAUUCCCCGAAGAGGAGAGGAUGAUGCAGCACAACAAAGGUAAGUAUUCCCCUCAGUUAUGAAAGAAAGGUUAUCAAUCCAGAAGGAGAACCAAGCAACACUAUGUAAACAACACCUGCAAACAAACAACAAAUACUUGCAACCCAACGCGUAAGAGGGGUUGUCAAUCCCUCCUCGGUAUUGAGAUAGAUUAAAUUGUAUGAGAUUUGAUAAAUAGAUCUAACUAAAACACGAAAUAAAAUAAAUAAAUAAAGAAAAAGUGCACCAAGGUAUUUUUAGAUUUAAUAUGAUAGGAAAUAGACCCCUGGGCCGUAGUUUUCACUAGUGGCUUCUCUCAAGAAAAUAGUAUCCGGUGGGUAAACAAAUUACUGUUGGGCAAUUGAUAGAAAAGCGAAUAAUCAUGAAAAUAUCCAAGGCAAUGAUCAUGUAUAUAGGCAUCACAUCUAAGAUUAGUAGAGCGAAACGAUUCUGCAUCUACUACUAUUAAUCCACAAAUCGAUCGCUAUCCAGCAUGCAUCUAGUGUAUUAAGUUCAUGGAAAAACGGAGUAAUGCAAUAAGAAAGAUGACAUGAUGUAGACGAAUUAAACUCACAUAUGAAUAAAUCCCAACUUGUUACCCUUAAUAGCAACGAUACAUGUGUGUCAUGUCUCUUUCUGUCACUGAGAUUGAGCACCGCAAUAUCGAACCCAUGACAAAGCACCUCCUCCCAUGGCAAGAAAAAUCAAUCUAGUUGGCCAAACCAAACCAAAAUUUCGAAGAAGAAAUAUGAGGCUAUAACAAUCAUGCAUAUAAGAGUUCAAUAAAGACUCAAAUAAUAUUCAUGGAUAGAACUGAUCAUGAACCCACAACUCAUCGGAUCCCAACAAACACACCGCAAAAAGGAAUUACAUCAAAUAGAUCUCCAAGAACAUCGAGGAGAACAUUGUAUUAAAGAUCAAAAAGAGAGAAGAAGCCAUCUGGCUACUAGGUACGGACCUGUAGGUCUGUGGUAAACUACUCACGCAUCAUUGGAGGGGCAACAAGGAUGAUGAAGAACCCCUCCGUGAUCUUUGCCCCCUCGGGCAGAGUGCCAGAAAAGGCCUCUAAAUUGGAUCUCGUGGUUCUAGAACUUGCGGUGGCUAGAGAAGUGUUUUGUCGACCCCCCUAGGGUUUUUGAGAUUUUACAGUAUUUAUAGAGGUGGAGGUAGGUCAGGAAGCUUCCCGUGGGCUCCACUACCCACCAGGGCGCACCUAGGUCCUUUGGAGCCCUGGUGCCCAGGCCUCCUCCUGUGUGCUCCUUUGGCUCCCUGGGUGUCUUCUGUCUAGAAAAAAUUCUCCAAAAAGUUCCAUUGCAUUUGGACUUCAUUUGGUAUUGAUACUCUGCAAAGUAAAAAAUAAGCAAAAACAACAACUGACAUUGGGCGCUAUGUCAAUAGGUUAGUCCCAAAAAUGAUAUAAAGUUGCUAGUAAAUGAAUAUAAAACAUCCAAGAUUGAUAAUAUAACAGCAUGGAACAAUAAAAAAUUACAGAUACGUUGAAGACGUAUCAGCAUCCCCAAGCUCGAUUCCUACUCGUCCUCGAGUAGGUAAAUGAUAAAAACAGGAUUUUGAUGUGGAGUGCUGCCUAACAUGUUCAUCAUAAUUCUUUUCUUUUGUAGCAUGUACAUUUGGACUUUAGAUGAUUCAAAGUAAUAGCCUGUAAUUGACAUGAGGACAUCAAUACUCAAGCAUAUCAACAAGAAGCCAUGUCUUAAAAAAUAUGAACGCUAAAGAAAGCUAUCCCUAGCCCAUUAUGCUCAAUCAUUGAUCCAUUCAUGAAACACACUAAAACAUUAGCUAUUCCCAAUGCACAUGUAUGAUAAUAGUGCUCCCUAGUUGGUGCUUUAAGAGAAGAUGGAGACUCAAUAAAAGUAAAAUCCACAUAAAAGUAAAUAGAUAGGACCUUCGCAGAGGGAAGCAGAGAUUUAUAGAGGUGCCAGAGCUCUCAAUUUAAGCUUUGAGCCUCGACAGAAUAGCUCCACCGGAGCCCUAGAUUGGUUCUGCCCAGGUUCUGCCUCGAGACGGCAGCGCUUCGUCCCGAAAGCUUCCUUCUAAUUUUUUCCAGGUCAAAACACACCAUAUAGCCAAAGAUGGGCACCGGAGGCCUGCCAGGGGGCCCACAAGGUCGGGGGGCGCGCCCUCCACCCUUGUGGCUGGCUGGUGGCCCCCUCUGGUACUUUCUUCACCCAAUAUUUUUUAUAUAUUCCAAAAACAUGCUCCGUGAAGUUUUAGGACUUUUGGAGUUGUGCAGAAUAGGUCUAUAAUAUUUGCUCCUUUUCCAGUCCAGAAUUCCAGCUGCCGGCAUUCUCCCUCUUAAUGUAAACCUUAUAAAAUAAGAGAGGAAAGGCAUAAGUAUUGUGAUAUAACAUGUAAUAACAGCCCAUAAUGCAAUAAAUAUCAAUAUAAAAGCAUGAUGCAAAAUGGACGUAUCAACUCCCCCAAGCUUAGACCUCGCUUGUCCUCAAGCGAAAGCCGAACUCGAAAAAUAUGUCCACAUGUUUAGAGAUAGAGGUGUCGAUAAAAUAAAAUACGGACAUGAGGGCAUCAUGAUCAUCUUUAGAACAACAACAUAUAAUGCCAUAUACUUUCUUAUGCUAAAGUAAAAAUUUGUUCACAAGGUAAAGUAUGAAUUAGAAAGUUCAUUGAAAACUAACAAACUAUGAUCUCAGUCAUUGAAGCAAUUCCAAUUUAUCAUAACAUCGGAAAGAGUCAAUAUAAGAGCUUUUCAGCAAGUCCACAUACUCAACUAUCAUUUAAUCUUUCACAAUUGCUAACACUCACGCGAUACUUAUGAGUACAAAGUUUCAAUCAGACAUAAAGAAAGAUAGGGGCUUAUAGUUUUGCCUCCCAACUUCUUACCUCAAGGGUAAUGUCAACAAUAAUACUUUAUGAUAACCUACAUCUGAGUGCAUAUAUAUAUCCGGAUCUCUCCAACACAUAGAGCUUGCCAAAGGAAAAAGUGUAAAAAGAAGAGGUGAUGAUCACCAUGACUCUUGUAUAAGGAUAGGAGAUAAAAGUAAAAGAUAGGCCCUUCGCAGAGGGAAGCAGAGGUUGUCAUGCGCUUUUAUGGUUGGAUGCACAAAAUCUUAAUGCAAAAGAACGUCACUUUAUAUUGACGCUUGUGAUAAGGACCUUUAUUAUGCUGUCCGUCGCUUUUAUUUCUUCCAUAUCACAAGUUCGUAUAAAGCUUAUUUUCUUCACACUAAUAGAUCAUACAUAUUUAGAGAGCAAUUUUUAUUGCUUGCACCGAUGACAACUUACUUGAAGGAUCUUACUCAAUCCAUAGGUAGGUAUGGUGGACUCUCAUGGCAAAACUAGGUUUAGGGAUGUUUGGAAGCACAAGUAGUAUCUCUACUUGGUGCAAAGAAUUUGGCUAGCAUGAGAGGGAAAGGAAAGCUCAACAUGUUGGAUGAUCCAUGACAAUAUAACUUCUAUUCGGAUAUAAGAAAACAUAACCUAUUAUGUUGUCUUCCUUGUCCAACAUCAACUUUUUAGCCUGUCAUAUUCUAAUGAGUGCUCACAAUUACAAAAGAUGUCCAAGAUAGUAUAUUUAUAUGCGGAGCCUCUCUUUCUUUAUUACUCCUUAUUAAUUGCAACAAUGACCAAAAAUAUGUUUGUCAACUCUCAGCAACUUUUAUUCAUCAUACUCUUUAUAUGUGAAGUCAUCACUCUCCAUAAGAUCAAUAUAUGAACUUUUUUAUUUCUUUUUAUUCUUUCCUUUAUUUAACUCCCUCAAGAUCAUAGCAAGAAAGCAAAGCCCUUAUCUCAAAACUACUAUUUAUUAUAUAUCUCAAGGACUAGAUUACAUAGAUAGGGAUCGAAGCAAAACUCAAAGCUAGAUCAUACUAAAACUUUAUUCUACUAGAUCAAGAUGUAACCAAAAGGAUCAAACUAAGAAAAGCGAUAAAGAUAAAGAUGUGAUGGUGAUACGAUACCGGGGCACCUCCCCCAAGCUUGGCAGUUGCCAAGGGGAGUGCCCAUACCCAUGUAUUUAGAUCUCUUUCUUCAGAGGUGAUGAUGAAGGACUUGUUGCAUUCUUCUUCUCUAGCUUGCGUCUAAGGCUAAAAUUUUCCUCCCUCGAAUCCUCAUUCUCGAGCUCGAGUUUCAUUAUCUUUUUGCAUAAUGCCGCCUUGCUGUCCUGUGAAAAACGAGGUGGGAUAUAUUGGACCUUAGGGAGGCUUGACUUCUUGAACUCCAUAUGCAUAUCGCCAGGUUGAGGUAGUGGAUCGUCCUCUUCAUCGGAGCUUGUCUCCUCCUUCCCCUUUGGAUCAUAGUAUUCUUCUUCCUCCAUGGUCCAACCAUAAUGUUCCACAUCCCCAUAUACAUUUGGGUUUGUGAUAUAAUCAACCAUGUAGCUCCCUCCCUCCGAAUCUUGGGACGACAUCUUACUCCAAAUCUGCUGCAGAAACAACUCAAAAUGAAAACAAGGGAUUUUGUCGUGGUACGGUGGUCAAAACCUUUAGGAGAUUAUAUAAUGAAUUUUUACCAAUCAUAAGAAGUAUCGUGCAGGAAAACGGAGCCCGGAGGGCNNNNNNNNNNNNNNNNNNNNNNNNNNNNNNNNNNNNNNNNNNNNNNNNNNNNNNNNNNNNNNNNNNNNNNNNNNNNNNNNNNNNNNNNNNNNNNNNNNNNNNNNNNNNNNNNNNNNNNNNNNNNNNNNNNNNNNNNNNNNNNNNNNNNNNNNNNNNNGGGGCACGCCCAGGGGGUAGGGCGCGCCCUCCACCCUUGUGGUGGCCUCGUGUCCCUCUCAGACUACUUUUAAUUUUCCUAAUUUUUUAAAUAUUCCAAAAUGGAGAAAAUUUAUCAUUGGAAAUGUUUUGGAGUCGGUUUACUUAACGUACCACAUACCUAUUCCUUUUCAGAGUCUGGAACGUUCUGGGAAGUGUCCCUUUGUUACGGUAUUAAUUAUAUUGGUCUCAACAUUUAUGGGAGUACCUGAGAUAUAAUGUUUGAUUCUUUGACCAUUUACCACCUUCGGAUUUGUGCCUUUGGAGUUGUUGAUUUUUAUGGCACCGGAACGAUACACUUCCUCGAUGAUGUAAGGGCCUUCCCAUUUAGAGAGAAGCUUUCUUGCAAAAAAUCUUAAACGAGAGUUGUAUAGCAAAACACAUGAUCACCCACAUUAAACUCACUUUUUUGUAUCCUUUUGUGAUCCCAUCUUUUAACUUUUUCUUUAAACAACUUGGCAUUCUCAUAGGCUUGGGUUCUCCAUUCAUCAAGUGAGCUAAUGUCAAAUAACAUCUUCUCACCGGCAAGUUUGAAAUCAUAAUUGAGCUCUUUAAUAGCCUAAUAUGCCUUAUGUUCUAGUUCAAGAGGCAAAUGACAUGCUUUUCCAUAAACCAUUUUAUACGGAGACAUACCCAUGGGAUUCUUAUAAGCAGUUCUAUAAGCCCAUAAUGCAUCAUCAAGUUUCUUAGACCAAUUCUUUCUAGAUCUAUUAAUAGUCUUUUGCAAAAUUAAUUUAAGCUCUCUAUUACUCUAUUCUACUUGACCACUAGACUGAGGAUGAUAAGGAGAUGCAAUUCUAUGGUUAACAUCAUAUUUAGCAAGCAUUUUACGGAAUGCACCAUGAAUAAAAUGUGAACCACCAUCAGUCAUUAAAUAUCUAGGGACUCCAAACCUUAGAAAAAUAACUUCUUUAAGCAUCUCAAUAGAAGUAUUAUGAUCAGCACUACUAGUUGGAAUAGCCUCUACCAACUUAGUAACAUAAUCAACAACAACUAAAAUAUGUGUAUACCCAUUAGAGGAAAGAAAAUGUCCCAUAUAAUCCAAGCCCCAAACAUCAAAUGGUUUAAUAACAAGUGAAUAAUUCAUAGGCAUUUCCCGACGUCUACUAAUAUUACCAAUUCUCUGGCAUUCAUCACAAGAUAAGACAAACUUAUGGGCAUCCUUAAAGAGAGUGGGCCAAUAGAAACCGGAUUGCAAUACCUUAUGUGCAGUUCUAUCUCCGGCGUGGUGUCCUCCGUAAGACUCGGAGUGACACUUGCAUAGGAUCUGUUCCUGUUCAUGCUCAGGUACACAAUGUCUAAUAACACCAUCUACUCCUUCUUUAUAAAGGUGUGGGUCAUCCCAGAUGUAAUGUCAUAAAUCAUAGAAAACCUUUUUCUUUUGCUGGUAUGUGAAACUAGGUGGUACAAAUUUAGCAACAAUAUAAUUAGCAUAAUCAGCAUACCAUGGAGUAUUAUGAGAAGCAUUUAUGACAUUAAACAUUCAUCAAGAAAGCUAUCAUCAAUAAGUAGUGGGCCAUCAAGAACAUUUUCUAACCUAGACAAGUUGUCUGUAACGGGGUUCUCAGCUCCCUUUCUAUCAAUAAUAUGCAAAUCAAAUUUUUGUAGCAAGAGAACCCAUCUAAUAAGUGUAGGUUUAGCAUCUUUCUCUUCCAUAAUAUAUUUAAUAGCAGCAUGAUCAGUGUGAACAGUUACUUUGGAAUCAACAAUAUAAGGUCUGAACUUAUCACAUGCAAAUACAACUGCUAAAAAUUCUUUUUCAGCAGUAGCAUAAUUUCUCUGGGCACUGUCUAGAGUUUUACUAGCAUACUGGAUGACAUUUAAUUUCUUAUCAACUCUUUGUCCUAGAAUAGAACCAACAACAUAAUCACUAGCAUCACACAUAAUUUCAAAGGGUAAAUUCCAAUCAGGUGGCUGAACAAUAGGAGCAGAAAUCAAGGCUUUCUUAAGUAUUUCAAAUUCUUCUACACAAUCAUCAUAAAAAACAAAAGGAACAUCUUUUUGCAAGAGAUUAGUGAGAGGCCUAGAAAUUUUAGAGAAGUCUUUAAUAAACCUCCUAUAGAAACCAGCAUGACCAAGGAAACUUCCUAUACCUUUGAUAUCUUUAGGACACAACAUCUUUUCAAUAGCAUCUAUUUUAGCUUUAUCAACUUCAAUACCUCUUUCAGAAACUUUAUGCCCCAAGAUAAUACCUUCAUUAACCAUAAAGUGGCACUUCUCCCAAUUCAAGACAAGAUGAGUUUCUUCACAUCUCUGCAAAACUCGGUCAAGGUUGCUUAAGCAAUCAUCAAAAGAAGUUCCGUAAAUGGAGAAAUCAUCCAUGAAAACCUCAACAAUCUUUUAACAAAAGUAAGAGAAUAUAGCAGUCAUACAUCUUUGCAAGGUAGCAGGUGCAUUGCAUAGACCAAAAGGCAUAUGUCUAUAAGCAAAGGUAUCGAAAGGGCAAGUAAAAGUAGUUUUCUCUUGAUCCUCUUUUGAGGCAGGUAUUUGAGAGAAACCAGAAUAACCAUCUAAAAAGCAAAAAAGAGUAAUGUUUGGAUAGUCUUUCUAGCAUUUGAUCAAUAAAAAGGUAGAGGGUAAUGAUCUUUUCUAGUGGCUUUAUUUAAUUUCAUAAAAUCAAUUACCAUUCUAUAACCUAUAACAAUUCUUUGAGGAAUCAAUUCAUUCUUAUCAUUAGGAACAACGGUAAUACCUCCCUUCUUAGGGACGCAAUGAACGGGACUUACCCAUUGACUAUCAGCAAUAGGAUAAAUUAUACGUGCCUCCAGAAGCUUUAGUAUUUCAUUUCUUACCACUUCUUUCAUCUUAGGAUUUAACCGUCAUUGGUGAUCAACAACUGGUUUAGCAUCUUUCUCCAAUUUAAUUUUGUGCUGACAUAGAGUGGGACUAAUGCCCUUAAGAUCAUCAAGAGUAUAUCCAAUAGCGACACAGUGCUUCUUCAGAGUUUUCAAUAAUUUCUUUUCUUCACGCUCUGAAAGGUUAGCACUAAUAAUAACAGGAUAUAUCUUCUUUUCGUCAAGAUAAGCAUAUUUCAGAGUAUCAGGUAAUUGUUUAAGCUCAAACACGGGAUCACCCUUGGGUGGAGGAUGAUCCCCAAGUAUUUCAACAUGCAAAUUCUGUUUCAAAAUAGGUCCUUAAUUAAAGAAUACUUCAUCUAUUUCCCUUCUUUCAUUCAUAAACAUAUCAUUUAAUUGGUCUAGCAAAUAUUGUUCUAAAGGAUCAUUAGGAGGCAUGGCAAUAGAAGCAAGACCAAUAAUUUCAUCCUUACUAGGCAAUUCUUUAUCAUGGGGUUGUCUAUGAAAUUUAGAGAAAUUAAAAUCAUGAGACAUAUCCCCUAAACCAACAGUAACAAUAUCUUUCUCGCAGUCUAUCUUAGCAUUAACAGUAUUCAAGAAGAGUCUACCAAAUAUAAUGGGACAAAAAUUAUCUUGUGGGGAAGCAAGAACAAUAAAAUCAGUAGGAUAUUUUAUCUUCCCACACAAGACUUCAACAUCUCUAACAAUCCCAAUUGGUGAUAUAGCAUCUCUAUUAGCAAGCUUAAUAGUAACAUCAAUAUCUUCUAUCUCAGCAAGUGCAAUAUCAUUCAUAAUUUCUUUAUAUAAGGUAUAAGGAGUUACACUCACACUAGCACCCACAUCACAUAAGCCAUGAUAACAAUGAUCUCCUAUUUUAACAGAAAUGACAGGCAUGCCAACAACGGGUCUAUGUUUAUCUUUCAUAUCAGGUUUAGCAAUCCUAGCAGCUUCAUCACAGAAAUAAAUAACAUGCCCAUCAAUAUUAUCAACCAAGAGAUCUUUAACCAUAUCAAUACUAGGUUCAAAUUUAAUUUCCUCAGAGGGUUUGGGUGUUCUAAUAUUACUUUUGCUGACCAGAGUUGAAGCUUUAGCAUGAUUCUUUAUUCUAACAUGGAAUGAUGGUUUCUCAAUAUAAGUAGUAGGAACAAUAGGAUCAACAUUUUAAGUAAUAGUUUCUUCUUCAACUUUAAUGGGUUCAACUACUUUAACUUCAAUGGGAGGAUGAUAUUUGAACCACUUCUCCUUGGGGAGAUCAACAUGAGUAGCAAAUGAUUCACAGAAAGCCGAGCAUAAAAGUUUUGAAUAAUAAUUUCUUUGCAAUAAAUCACAUUUGAGUUCAAUAUCCUUCUUCAUAUAGGAACCAAUACAAGAAGUAUCCAGCAUGGAUCGAUGAUUAUGAGAAACCCGAGCAUAAAUUUUUUGAAUAAUAAUUUCUCCUGAGAGCUCAUGAUUGGGGCAUGAAUAUAACAUUGACUUAAGCCUCCCCCAAGCUUGAGCGAUACUUUCUCCUUCAUGAGUCAAAAAAUUAUAUAUAUAAUUCCGAUCACGAUGAACCAGAUGCAUAGGAUAAAACUUCUGAUGAAAUUCCAAUUUCAAUCGGUUGUAGUUCCAUGAUCCAAUAUCAUCCAAUAGCCUAUACCAUGUCAAUGCAUUUCCCUUCAAAGAUAAAGGGAAGACCUUCUUCUUGACAACAUCCUCGGGCUUACAUGCAAGCUUAAAUAAUCCACAAACUUCAUCCACAUACAUUAGGUGCAUAUCGGGAUGUAAUGUUCCAUCUCCUACAUAAGGAUUAGCUAGCAGUUUCUCUAUCAUACCCAAAGGAAUUUCCUAAUAAAUAUUUUCAGUAGGUGCAGUAGGUUGAGGAGAAACUCUUUGUUCUUCUGAACAAGGUGAAGAUACCCCGAACAAGCCCCUCAAAGGAUUAUUUUCAUAGUACGAAGUGACAGUAAAUUUCAGCACACUAUAUAAUCAUUUCCUUACCAAAUUCCACUUACCAAAGGCGCUUCACUCCCCGGCAUUGGCACUAGAAAAGAGUCUUGAUGACCCAAAAGUAUAGGGGAUCUAUCGUAGUACUUUCUAUAAGUAAGAGUGUCGAACCCAACGAGGAGCAGAAGGAAAUGAUAAGUGGUUUUCAGCAAGGUAUUCUCUGCAAGCACUGAAACUAUCGGUAACAGAUAAUUUUCUGAUAAUAUAAAUCGUAAUGGGUAACAAGUAAAUAAAGUAACUAAGGUGUAGCAAGGUGGCCCAAUCCUUUUUGUAGCAAAGGAAAAGCCUGGAAAAACUCUUAUAUAAAGCAAAGCGCUCCCGAGGACACAUGUGAAUUGUUGUCAAGCUAGUUUUCAUCAUGCUCAUAUGAUUCACGUUCGUUACUUUGAUAAUUUGAUAUGUGCGUGGACCGGUGCUUGGGUGCUGCCCUUCCUUGGACAAGCCUCCCACUUAUGAUUAACCCCUCUCGCAAGCAUCCGCAACUAUGAAAGAAGAAUUAAGGUAAACCUAACCAUAGCAUGAAGCAUAUGGAUCCAAAUCAGCCCCCUAACGAAGCAACACAUAAACUAGGGUUUAAGCUUCUGUCACUCUAGCAACUCAUCAUCUACUUAUUACUUCCCAAUGCCUCCCCCUAGGCCCAAAUAAUGGUGAAGUGUCAUGUAGUCAACAUUCACAUAAUACCACUAGAGGAGAGACAACAUACAUCUCAUCAAAAUAUUGAACGAAUACCAAAUUCACACAAUUACUUAUAACAAGACUUAUCCCAUGUCCUCAGGAACAAACGUAACUACUCACAAACCAUAUUUAUGAUCAAGAUCAUAGGAGUAUUAAUUGUCAUUAAGGACCUAAAAAUAUAAUCUUCCACCGGAUAAACCAACUAUCAUCAACUACAAGGGGUAAUCAACACUACUAGCAGCCCACAGGUACCAAUCUGAGGUUUUGGGACCAAGAUUGAAUACAGGAGAUGAACUAGGGUUUGAGAGGAGAUGGUGCUGGUGAAGAUGUUGAUGGAGAUUGACCCCCUCUCGAUGAGAGGAUCGAUGGUGAUGACGAUGGCGACGAUUUCCCCCUCCCGGAGGGAUGUUUCCCCGGUAGAAUAGCUCCGCUAGAGCCCUAGAUUGGUUCUGCCCAGGUUCCGCCUCGAGACGGUGACGCUUCGUCCCGAAAGCUUCCUUCUAAUUUUUUCCAGGUCAAAACACACCAUAUAGCCAAAGAUGGGCACCGGAGGCCUGCCAGGGGGCCCACAAGGUCGGGGGCGCGCCUAGGGGGUAGGGCGCACCCUCCACCCUUGUGGCUGGCUGGUGGCCCCCCUCUGGUACUUCCUUCGCCCAAUAUUUUUUAUAUAUUCCAAAAACAUGCUCAGUGAAGUUUCAGGACUUUUGGAGUUGUGCAGAAUAGGUCUCUAAUAUUUGCUCCUUUUCCAGUCCAGAAUUCUAGUUGCCAGCAUUCUCCUCUUCAUGUAAACCUUAUAAAAUAAGAGAGGAAAGGCAUAGGUAUUGUGAUAUAACGUGUAAUAACAACCCAUAAUGCAAUAAAUAUCAAUAUAACAGCAUGAUGCAAAAUGGACGUAUCAGUAGGUAUGAUGGACUCAUUUGGCACAACUUGGUUCAAGGAGUUUGGGUGCACAAGCAGUAUUCCCACUUAGUACAGGGAAAGGCUAGCAAAUAGAUUGAGAAGCAACCAACCAAAAAACAAAAACUAUCAUAAACGAGCAUUACACAUAACUAACACCGAAUAAUGCACCACAAGUAGGAUAUAACUUCAUUGCAUAACCAUUGACUUUCAUGCUUGCAUAGGGAAUCACAAAUCUUUACACCAAUAUUUUUACUAAAGCAUAAUUACUCACCAACAUGACUCACAUAUUACUAUCUCCAUAUCUCAAGACUAUUACAAGGAAUCAAGUUUACAAUAUCAAAUGAUCUUCAUGAAAGUUUUUAUUAUAUCCCCUUGAAUAUCUAUCACUUUGGGACUAAUUUCAUAUCUUACCAUUGCUACUAACAAGCUCUCAAAAAAAAUUAAGUGAAGCACAAUAGCAUAAAUAUUUCUUCAAAAUUUUCAACUCUCAAAAUAAUAUAAGUGAAGCAUGAGAGGAUAUUUCUUUAAAUUUUUACCAACUCUCAAAAUAAUCUAAGUGAAGCAUGAGAGUAUUUCUUCAAAAUUUAGACCACCAUUGUGGUCAAAAAGAUACAAGGGAAGCACUAGAGAAAUUCCAUAACUCAAUUUUUUUUCCAGUGAAGCACAUAGAGCAAUUGUAACAAAUCAUAUCAUCAUUAUGGCUCUCUCAAAUAGGUGUGUCCAACAAGGAUGAUUAUGGCAAACUAAAAACCAAAACCAAGCAAAACUCAUGAUAUGCGACGAAUAAAAAUAUAGCUCCAAGUAAAAUUGCCGAUAGUCGUUAGAAGAAAGAGGGGAUGCCUUCCGGGGCAUCCCCAAGCUUAGUUGCUUGGUACUUCCUUGAAUAUUGCCUUGGGGUGCCAUGGGCAUCCCCAAGCUUAGUUGCUUGGUACUUCCUUGAAUAUUGCCUUGGGGUGCCAUGGGCAUCCCCAAGCUUAGGCUCUUGUUGCUCCUUAUUCCUUCAUCCAUCACACAAAACUUAACAAAACCUUUGUGAGAUCCGUUAGUAUAAUAAAGCAAAUUACCACUUUAAAUACUGUUGCAAACCCAUUCAUAUUUUAUUAUUGCAUUAUACCUACUGUAUUCUAACUUUACCAUGGCUUAUACCCCCUGAUACAAUCCAUAGAUUCAUCAAAAUAAGCACACAAUGCAACGAAAACAGAAUCUGUCAAAAACAGAAUAGUCUGUAGUAAUAUGUACUUUAACCAUACUUCUAUAACUACAAAAAACAUAAAAAUAGUACAAUGUAGGCAAUUCAUAUAUUAAUCAUGUGUAAAAAAAUCUGAAUUUUAUCACGCUCCAGUGAAUUUUAACAAUUCUGCUACUGGACGCAAAAGUUUUUGUUUUCCAACAGGAUCAAAUCAACUAUCACCGAACAUAAUCCUAAAGGCUUUACUUAGCACAAACACUAAUUAAAACAUAAAAACACAAUCGUAACAGUAGCAUAAUUGUGUAAACACACAAGAGUAGAAAAAAAUUGAAAAAUUUAUUUUAUUUAUUGGGUUGCCUCCCAACAAGUGCUAUUGUUUUAUGCCCCUAGCUAUGCAUAAUGCAUAGAUUCAAGUGUUGUCAUCUUUAGUUUCCAAUUCCUCAAUUACACAACUAUAAUUUCUAGGAGUUCUAGCACAUAUAUUUUUGAUAAUCAAAGUCCUAGGAGCAAAAUCAAGAGACAUAUUUUUAUAAAUUGGUUCUUUUAUCAAAUCUACGAAAUUGGGGUGAACUUUAGUCAUCUUAAGAUCUUCGUGGUUGCUACUAGAAGUGUCACCCUUGUUCUUAGAAGCAUAUGUAGACUUGGUAUUCUUACUAGAAGGAGUCUUUUCAAUAGUUUGAAUGGAACAAAAAGCAGAACUCAAGUUACUAAAAAGUUCUUCCAACUUAUCAAUUCGAACAUGGAUCUUUUCUACCCUUUCAUUAACUACGAGUCUUUUCUCUUUUAGUGUUUCAAGAGUAUCUCCUAUCUUUGACCCAAUCCGAUUAGCAAGAUUAUGGAUCCUUUUAUCCAAAUUUUCAAUAUGCUCUUCAGUGAGCAUUUUCUUUUCAAUAGCAUCCAGCCUUUGCAUAACAUGCUCAAGAGUAAAAAUAGUUUCAUUGAUAAUGAUUUGUGGCAAUCCCACUAAAUUUCUCAUAGCAUUAAAAGCAUCCAUAGAGGGACACGUCAAGAAAUUCCCUCCGGUAAUAGUGCCAAGCACAAAUCUAUGCCAAGUAGUGAUUCCCACAUAAAAAUUACGAAGAAGAAUGGUAGUAGAUUGCUUACGGGUUGAUCUAUUAUGAGUGUUGCAAAUCCUAUACCAAGCAUCUCUUAAAUUUUAUCCUCCCCUUUGUUUAAAAUUGAGAAAUUCAUUCUUAGGGGUGCACGAGGCAAAGGAGGAGCUAUCCAUAGCGAUAAAGUGGGCAAACAAACAAAGAAGCAAGCAAGAAAAUGACAAACGACAAAUAUUUUUGUAUUUUUUGUAAAAACUUUUUAGAAGUGGGGGAGAUGAAAACGAGAGGCAAAUGGCAAAUAAAGUAAUUGCAAUGUGAUGAGAGUUUAUGCGUAGAUAGUUGAUAGAUGUUGAUGAUGUCUCCCUGGUAAUGGCGCCAGAAAAUUCUUCCUGCUUGCUUGUAUCUGCGUUGGUAAUUCCCCGAAGAGGAGAGGAUGAUGCAGCACAACAAAGGUAAGUAUGUCCCUCAAUUAUGAAACCAAGGUUAUCAAUCCAGUAGGAGAACCAAGCAACACUAUGUAAACAACACCUGCACACAAACAAGAAAUACUUGCAACCCAAUGCGUAAGAGGGGUUGUCAAUUGCUCCUCGAUAUUGAGAUAGAUUAAAUUGUAUGAGAUUUGAUAAAUAGAUCUAACUAAAACACAAAAUAAAAUAAAUAAAGAAUGAGUUCAUUACAGUACCUUGAAGUGGUGUUUUCUUUUCUUUCGCUAACAGAGCUCAUGAGAUUUUCUAUUUUGAGUUUUGUGUUGUGAAGUUUUCAAGUUUUAGGUAAAGAUUUGAUGGAUUAUGGAACAAAGAGUGGCAAGAGCCUAAGCUUGGGGAUGCCCAUGGCACCCCAAGGUAAAAUUCAUGGACACCAAAAAUCCUAAGCUUGGGGAUGCCCCGGAAGGCAUCCCCUCUUUCGUCUUCGUCUACCAGUAACUUUACUUGGAGCUAUAUUUUUAUUCACCACAUGAUAUGUGUUUUGCUUGGAGCGUCUUGUAUGAUUGCUUUUUAGUUUACCACAAUCAUCGUUGUUGUACACACCUUUUGAGAGAGGAUCACAUGAUUUGAAAUUUAUUAGAAUACUCUAUGUGCUUCACUUAUAUCUUUUGAGCUAUAUAGUUUUUGCUCUAGUGCUUCACUUAUAUCUUUUAGAGCACGAUGGUGGAUUUGUUUUAUAGAAACUAUUAUUCUCUCAUGCUUCACUUAUAUUAUUUUGAGAGUCCUUUAGAACGACAUGGCAAUAAUAAAAAACUUUCAUAUAAGUGCAUUGAAUUCUAUGAGAAGACUGAUACUUGAUAAUUCUUUUGAGAUAUGGAUAUGGUGAUAUUAGAGUCAUGCUAGUUGAGUAGUUGUGAAUUUGAGAAAUACUUGUGUUGAAGCUUGUGAUUCUCGUAGAAUGCACACAUGGUGAACCGUUAUGUGAUGAAGUCGGAGCAUGAUUUAUUUAUUGAUUGUCUUCCUUAUGAGUGGCGGUCGGGGACGAGCGAUGGUCUUUUCCUACCAAUCUAUCCCCUAGGAGCAUGCGCGUAAAACUUUGUGUCGAUAACUAAUAGAUUUUUGCAAUAAGUAUGUGAGUUCUUUAUGACUAAUGUUGAGUCCAUGGAUUAUACGCACUCUCACCCUUCCACCAUUGCUAGCCUCUCUAGUAUCGCGCAACUUUCGUCGGUACCAUAAAUCCACCAUAUACCUUCCUCAAAACAGCCACCAUAACUAACUAUUAUGGCAUUUCCAUAGCCACUCCGAGAUAUAUUGCCAUGCAACUUUCCACCGUUCCGUUAUUAUGACACGCUUCAUCAUUUUCAUAUUGCUUGCAUGAUCAUGUAGUUGACAUCGUAUUUGUGGCAAAGCCACCGUUCGUAAUUCUUUCAUACAUGUCACUCAUGCAUCAUUGCACAUCCCGGUACACCGCCGGAGGCAUUCACAUAGAUUCAUAUUUUGUUCUAAGUAUUGAGUUGUAAUUCUUGAGUUGUAAGUACAUAAAGUGUGAUGAUCAUCAUUAUUAGAGCAUUGUCCCAAGUGAGGAAAGGAUGAUGGAGACUAUGAUUCCCCCACAAGUCGGGGUGAGACUCUGGAUGAAAAAUAAUAAAAAAAUAAAAAAAGAGAAAAGAGGCCAAAAGAAAAAAAAGAAGAAAGAAGGCCCAAAUAAAAAAAUGAGAGAAAAAGAGAGAAGGGACAAUGCUACUAUCCUUUUUCCACACUUGUGCUUCAAAGUAGCACCAUGUUCUUCAUAUAGAGAGUCUCCUAUGAUAUCACUUUCAUAUACUAGUGGGAAUUUUUCAUUAUAGAACUUGGCUUGUAUAUCCAAUGAUGGGCUUCCUCAAAAUGCCCUAGGUCUUCGUGAGCAAGCAAGUUGGAUGCACACCCACUUAGUUUCUUUUGUUGAGCUUUUAUGUACUUAUAGCUCUAGUGCAUCCGUUGCAUGGCAAUCCCUACUCACUCACAUUGACAUCUAUUGAUGGGCAUCUCCAUAGCCCCUUGAUACGCCUAGUUGAUGUGAGACUAUCUUCUCCCUUUUUGUCUUCUCCACAACCACCAUUCUAUUCCACCAUAGUGCUAUAUCCAGGGCUCAUGCUCAUAUAUUGCGUGAAGAUUGAAAAAGUUUGAGAAAAUCAGAAGUAUGAAACAAUUGCUUGGCUUGUCAUCGGGGUUGUGCAUGAUUUAAAUAUUUUGUGUGGUGAAGAUAGAGCAUAGCCAGACUAUAUGAUUUUGUAGGGAUAACUUUCUUUGGCCAUGUUAUUUUGAGAAGACAUAAUUGCUUAGUUAGUAGGUUUGAAGUAUUAUUAUUUUUAUGUCAAUAUUAAACUUUUAUCUUGAAUCUUUCGGAUCCGAACAUUCAUGCCACAAUAAAGAAAAAUUACAUUGAGAAAUAUGUUAGAAAGCAUUUCACAUCAAAAAUUCUUAUUUUAUCAUUUACCUACUCGAGGACGAGCAGGAAUUAAGCUUGGGGAUGCUUGAUACGUCUCCAACGUAUCUAUAAUUUUUGAUUGCUCCAUGCUAUUAUAUUAUAUAUUUUGGAUGUUAAUGGGCUUUAUUUUACACUUUUAUAUCAUUUUUGGAACUAAGCUACUAACCGGAGGCCCAACCCAAAUUGUUGUUUUUUUGCCUAUUUUAGGGUUUCGAAGAAAAGGAAUAUCAAACGGAGUCCAAACGGAAUGAAACAUUCGGGAACAUGAUUUUCUCAACAAACGUGAUCCAGGAGACUUGGAGUGGCCGUCAAGAAACAAGGGAGGAAGGCACGAGGCAGGGGGGCGCCUACCCCCUAGGCACGCCCUCCACCCUCAUGGGCCCUCCGUUGCUCCACCGAUGUACUUCUUCCUCCUUUAUAUAUCCACGUACCCCCCCAAACAUCCAGGAGCACCACGAAAACCUAAUUCCACUGCCGUAACCUUCUGUACUCGAGAGAUCCCAUCUCGGGGCCUUUUCCGGAGCUCCGCCGAAGGGGGCAUUGAUCACGGAGGGCCUCUACAUCAACUCCAUGGCCUCUUCGGUGAUGUGUGAGUAGUUUACUUCAGACCUAUGGCUCCAUAGUUAUUAGCUAGAUGGCUUCUUCUCUCUCUUUGGAUCUCAAUACAAAGUUCUCCUCGAUCUUCUUGGAGAUCUAUUCAAUGUAAUCUUCUUUUGCGGUGUGUUUGUUGAGAUCCGAUGAAUGGUGGGUUUGUGAUCCAGAUUAUCUAUGAACAAUAUUUGAUUCUCCUCUGAAUUCUUUUAUGUAUGAUUGGUUUAUCUCUGCAAGUCUUUUCAAAUUAUUAGUUUGGUUUGGCCUACUAGAUUGAUCUUUCUUGCAAUGGGAGAAGUGCUUAGCUUUGGGUUCAAUCUUGCGGUGUUCGAUACCAGUGACAGAAAGGGAACCGACACGUAUUGUAUUGUUGCCACCGAGGAUAAAAAGAUGGGGCUUAUAUCAUAUUGCAUGAGUUUAUCCCUCUACAUCAUGUCAUCUUCCUUAAAGCAUUACUCUGUUCCUACGAACUUAAUACUCUAGAUGCAUGCUGGAUAGCGGUCGAUGUGUGGAGUAAUAGUAGUAGAUGCGGAAUCAUUUCGGUCUACUUGUCUCGGAUGUGAUGCCUAUAUACAUGAUCAUACCUAGAUAUUCUCAUAACUAUGCUCAAUUCUAUCAAUUGCUCGACAGUAAUUCGUUUAUCCACCGUAAUACUUAUGCUCUUGAGAGAAGCCACUAGUGAAACCUAUGGCCCCCAUGUCUAUCUUCCAUCAUAUUAAUCUUCCAACACUUAGUUAUUUCCUUUGCCAUUUAUUUUACUUUGCAUCUUUAUCCUAAAAAUACCAAAAAUAUUAUCUUAUCAUAUCUAUCAGAUCUAACUCUCGUAAGUGACCGUGAAGGGCUUGACAACCCCUUUAUUGCAUUGGUUGCGAGGUUAUUAUUUGUUUGUGUAGGUGCGUGGGACUUGGGCGUGAUCUCCUACUGGAUUGAUACCUUGGUUCUCAAAAACUGAGGGAAAUACUUACGCUACUUUGCUACAUCACCCUUUCCUCUUCAAGGGAAAACCAACACAGUGCUCAAGAGGUAGCACAACACUUAUCAAGGAAUUUAUUAUUGACAACGUAAAUAAUUUUUUUCAUUUCAGGACUGGGCAUCUCUAUUACCUGCCACACUCUUGUGCAAUGACAAGUGAAUAAACACUCAUACCAAGAAUAACCUACCUAGCAUGGAAAAUAUUGUCCUCCCCUUGCCGCUUCAUCAGCAGUACGGGCAGACAAAAAGGAAAUUCGUUUUGAAAUUUAGAGUUGGCACAUACAAAUUUACUUGGAACAACAUGGAAAUACCGCAUAUAGGUAGGUAUGAUGGACUCAUUUGGCACAACUUGGUUUAAGGAGUUUGGAUGCACAAGCAGUAUUCCCGCUUAGUACAAGGAAAGGCUAGCAAAUAGAUUGAGAAGCAACCAAUCAAAAAAUGAAAACUAUCAUAAACGAGCAUUACACAUAACUAACACCAAAUAAUGCACCACAAGUAGGAUAUAACUUCAUUGCAUAACUAUUGACUUCCGUUCAUGCAUAGAGAAUCACAAACCUUAACACCAACAUUCUUACUAAAGCAUAAUUACUCACCAACAUGACUCACAUAUUACUAUAUCCAUAUCUCAAAACUAUUACAAGGAAUCAAGUUUACAAUAUCAAAUGACCUUCAUGAAAGUUUUUAUUAUAUCCCACUUGAAUAUCUAUCACUUUGGGACUAAUUUCAUAUCUUACCAUUGCUACUAACAAGCUCUCAAACAAAUUUAAGUGAAGCACAAGAGCAUAAAUAUUUCUUCAAAAUUUUCAUCUCUCAAAAUAAUAUAAGUGAAGCACGAGAGGAUAUUUCUUUAAAUUUUCACCAACUCUCAAAAUAAUCUAAGUGAAGCAUGAGAGUAUUUCUUCAAAAUUUAGACAACCACUAUGGUCAAAAAGAUAUAAGGGAAGCACUAGAGCGAUUCCAUAGCACAAAAAAUUUAAGUGAAGCACAUAGAGCAAUUCUAAAAAAUCAUAGCAUCAUUAUGGCAAUCUCAAAUAGGUGGGUCCAGCAAGGAUGAUUAUGGCAAACUAAAAAUCAAAACAAGCAAAUACUCAUAUAAUACAAGAUGCUCCAAGCAAAACUCAUGAUAUGCGAUGAAUAAAAAUAUAGCUCCAAGUAAAAUUGCCGAUGGUCGUUAGAAGGAAGAGGGGAUGCCUUCCGGGGCAUCCCCAAGCUUAGUUGCUUGGUACUUCGUUGAAUAUUGCCUUGGGGUGCCACGGGCAUCCCCAAGCUUAGGCUCUUGUUGCUCCUUAUUCCUUCAUCCAUCACACAAAACUUAACAAAACCUUUGUGAGAUCCGUUAGUAUAAUAAAGCAAAUUACCACUUUAAAUACUGUUGCAAACCCAUUCAUAUUUUAUUAUUGCAUUAUACCUACUGUAUUCUAACUUUACCAUGGCUUAUACCCCCUUAUACAAUCCAUAGAUUCAUCAAAAUAAGCACGCAAUGCAACGAAAACAGAAUCUGUCAAAAACAGAACAGUCUGUAGUAAUAUGUACUUUAACCAUACUUCUAUAACUCCAAAAAAAACUGAAAAUAGUACAAUGUAGGAAAUUCAUAUAUCAAUCAUGUGUAAAAAAAUCUGAAUUUUAUCACGCUCCAGUGAAUUUUAACAAUUCUGCUACUGGAUGCAAAAGUUUCUGUUUUCCAACAAGAUCAAAUCAACUAUCACCGAACAUAAUCCUAAAGGCUUUACUUGGCAUAAACACUAAUUAAAACUCAAAAACACAAUCAUAACAGUAGCAUAAUUGUGUAAACACACAAGAAUAGAAAAAAAAGUGAAAAUUUUAUUUUAUUUAUUGGGUUGCCUCCCAGCAAGCGCUAUUGUUUUAUGCCCCUAGUUAGGUAUAAUGCAUAGGUUCAAGUGUUGUCAUAUUUAGUUUCCAAUUCCUCAAUUACGCAACCAUAAUUUCUAGGAGUUCUAGUACAUAUAUUUUUGACAAUCAAACUCCUAGGAGCAAAAUCAAGAGACAUAUUUUUAUAAAUUGGUUCUUUUAUAAAAUCUACGAAAUUGGGGUGAACUUUAAUCAUCUUAAGAUCUUCGUGGUUGCUACUAGAAGUGGCACCCUUGUUCUUAGAAGCAUAUGUAGACUUGGUAUUCUUACUAGAAGGAGUCUUUUAAAUAGUUUUAAUGGAAGAAAAAGCAGAACUCAAGUUACUAAAAAUUUCUUCUAACUUAUCAAUUCGAACAAGGCUCUCUUCUACCCUUUCAUUAACUACGGGUCUUUUCUCUUUUAGUGUUUUAAGAGUAUCUCCCAUCUUUGACCCAAUCCGAUUAGCAAGAUUAUGGAUCCUUUUAUCCAAAUUUUCAAUAUGCUCUUAAGUGAGCCUCAGUGAGCAUUUUCUUUUCAAUAGCAUCCAGUCUUCGCAUAACAAGCUCAAGAGUAAAAAUAGUUUCAUUGAUAAUGAUAGGUGGCAAUCCCACUAAAUUUCCCAUAGCAUUAAAAGAAUUUAUAGAGGGACACAUCAAGAAAUUCCCUCUGGUAAUAGUGUCAAGCUCAAAUCUAUACCAAGUAGUUAUUCCCACAUAAAAAUUACGAAGAAGAAUGGGAUUAGCACUACAAAAAAAGACACAUCCGUGACAUUUUGGGCCGAACGAAUUUUUUUGUCAUGCUUAUGACACUUCUAUGACGAUAAUUGUGAUAAAACCUGGUAUCAUCAUAGAUGUGGUGGUGUCCUACUUCUAUGACAAAAAAUCAUGAUAAAGAAUGGGCUUUUCAUCCUGGGCCGGCCGGAGACACAGCUGCAUGAUAUUCUUUGGGCCGUCCAUGACGGAAAAAACCAUGGUAGAAGCGAGGGCGAGGAAAAUAUCAGGGAGUUCCCGCUUACGGUGGGUGGUCAGGGGCCGAGCGAUGCACGUUUCUCUCGUACACGUACAUGCGUGGGUGCAAGGCGUUGGGCUCUAACUGAACCCGAGCAAGGCGUUCGCCUACUGAACCAGAGCGAUUGCACUGCAGGCUACGCGUUACUGAACCCGAGCUAUCGAUCGAUGGUUGUUAACUAAACCCGAUCGAGCGAUUCCUUCGCCACACUGCUGCUAACUGAAGCCGAUCGAUGNNNNNNNNNNNNNNNNNNNNNNNNNNNNNNNNNNNNNNNNNNNNNNNNNNNNNNNNNNNNNNNNNNNNNNNNNNNNNNNNNNNNNNNNNNNNNNNNNNNNNNNNNNNNNNNNNNNNNNNNNNNNNNNNNNNNNNNNNNNNNNNNNNNNNNNNNNNNNNNNNNNNNNNNNNNNNNNNNNNNNNNNNNNNNNNNNNNNNNNNNNNNNNNNNNNNNNNNNNNNNNNNNNNNNNNNNNNNNNNNNNNNNNNNNNNNNNNNNNNNNNNNNNNNNNNNNNNNNNNNNUUGGAUGCAUAGUUCCCGGUGGGUGUUGUAUGAACAGGACCACAUGGUAGUAGAGGCCAUUGCCGCUGGAUGAAUAGGACCCCAAUCGAGCCGGUUGGGGGUGGGUGAACAGGACGCCGUGGAGGGCUGGUUGAAUAGUAGCUGGUGGAGGGUUGGAUGAACAGUAGCCCGUGGAGGGGUGUUUGAACAGGACCCUGUGGAGAGGGCUGGUUGAACAAUAGCCGGUGGAGGAGCGGUGGAGGCUUGAUGAACAAGAGCCCGUGGAUGAAAAGUUGCAGGUGGAGGCUGGAGGAGGUCGACGGUGGAUGAACAAUAGCCCGUGGAGGCUGGAGGAGGUCGACGGUGGAGAUGAACAGUAUCCCGUGGAGUCCUGUUUUGUGGUACGCCACACCCCUCCCGAUGAACAGGACCCCCGUUUCUACCAUAGCGCUCCAACACAAGUCCGUUUCCUCCAUGUGGUACGCCACACCCCUCCCGAUCAACAGGACCCCGUUUCGACUGUAGGAAGUCCAAGAGAAGUCUGCUUCCUCCGAUUUGUGGUAUGCCAGACCCCUCCCAAUGAAUAGGAUCCUUUUUCGACCGUGGCCGGUCGAACACAAGGCUGUUUCCUCCGUUCUGCGGUACACCAGGCCUCGUUUCGAUCAGCAGUUCCGUCCAAGCCGGUAAUACGUCUCCAACGUAUUUAUAAUUUAUGAAGUAUUCAUGCCAAUAUAUUAUCAUUCUUGGAUGUUUUACAAUCAUUUUGUAGCAACUUUAUAUCAAUUUUUGGGACUAACCUAUUGACUCAGUGCCUAGUGCCAGUUGCUGUUUUUUGCUUGUUUUUUACAUCACAAAAAAUCAAUAUCAAACGGAAUCCAAACACCGUGAAACUUUUUGUGGAUUUUUUUGGGCCAGAAGACUCCCGAUGGGCCAAAGCAACACCUGGGGGGUGCCCCGAGGGGGCACAACCCACCACGGCGCGCCAGGCCCCCCUUGCGCGCCCAGGUGGGUUGUGCCCACCUCGGUGACCUCUCGUACCCCUUCUUUGCACUAUAAAUUCCCAAAUAUUCCGAAACCCCUCGGGGUUAACAUAGAUCAGAAGUUUCGCCACUACAGGCCUCCGUAGCCACCGAAAACCAAUCUAGACCCGUUCGGGCACCCUGCCGGAGGGGGAAUCAUCUCUGGUGGCCAUCUUCAUCAUCCUGGCAGCCACCACGAUGAGGAGGGAGUAGUCCACCCUCGGGGAUGAGGGUUUGUACCAGUAGUUAUGUGACCAAUCUCUCUCUCUCUCUCAUGAUCUAUAUCAUGGGCUUUGUUAAUAUAGUUGGAUCAUAUGAUGUUUCUCCCCUCUAUACUCUUGUUGUGAUGAAUUGAGUCUUUACCCUUUGAAGUUUUGUCUUGUUGGAUUGAAUAUUCAGAUAUGAGAACACAUGAUGUAUGUCUUGCGGUAUGAAUACUUGAGGUGACAAUGAGUUAUCAUAUUGAUUCACUUGAUAUGUGUUUUGGCAUUCAACUCGUGGAUUCCCGCGGUGAUAUUGGGGUAAUCUAUACAUAGGGGUUGAUGCACGUUUUUAUUAUCUUUUCUCUGAUAGAAACUUUGGGUUCUCUUGGUAGUUCUUUGUGUGGAUUGAGUAUUAUGAAUAUGAAUAUGCUUUGGUGUUAUUCUAGUAUGAACUCUAGGAUAGAUCGAACGGAAAAAUAGCUUUGCAUUAUUUUAAUAUGAACUCUUGAAUAGAUUGAGUGGAAAGAAUAGCUUUGAGGUGGUAUCGUACCCUACAAACAAUUUCUAUCUUUUGUUCUGCGCUAAGAGGAAUUCGGGAGUGAUUCUUUGUAGCAUUUUUAGGGAUAAUUAUAUGAUCCAACUAUGUUAUCACUGUUGAGAGAUUGCACUAGCGAAAGUAUGGACCCUAGGCCUCAUUUUUAAGCAUUGCAAUACCGUUUUUGUGCCCGUUUACUAUUUGCUACCUUUCUGUUUUUAUUUAUUCAGAUUAUAAAAUAUAUUUCUACCAUCAAUAUUACACUUUUAUCACCAUCUCUUCACCGAACUAGUGCACCUAUACAAUUUGCCAUUGUAUUGGGUGUGUUGGGGACACAAGAGAUUGCUUGUAUUUGGUUGCAGGGUCGUUUGAGAGAGACCAUCUUCAUCCUACACCUCUCACGGAUUGAUAAACCUUAGGUCAUCCACUUGAGGGAAGAUUGCUACUGUCCUACAAAACUAUACGCUUGGAGGCCCAACACGUGUCUACAAGAAUAAAGUUGCGUAGUAGACAUCAAGCUCUUUUCUGGCACCAUUGCCGGGGAGGUGAGUGCUUGAAGGUAUAUCUUUGGAUCUUGCAAUCGAAUCUUUUAGUUUCUUGUUUUAUCACUAGUUUGGUUUAUAAAAGAAAACUACAUAAAAAAUGGAAUUGAGGUUGCAUCAUACUAUUGAUCAUCUUUAUAGUAUCUUUCUUGAAAAUGAUGGUUUGGAAAAUUGUGCUCAAUUGUUAGAAGAAGAAGUCAAUAAAAUGUUUGGCACAAAAUAUUUGAAUGAUCAACAUGAUUGCAAUGUUGUUAGUAUAAAUUCUUUAAAGGACAGACCCAGUGCAUAGAAGCUCCCACACAAGGUGGGGUCUGGGGAGGGAUUAUAGGAACCUAGUCUUGCCCCUGCAAAGUGCAAUGCAGAGAGGCUGGUUCGAACCCAGGACCUCUUGGCACAAGUGGGAGGACUUCACCACUGCGCCAGGCCUGCCCUCUUGUUAGUAUAAAUUCUUUGAAUAUCCAAAAUGCUAAUGAUGAUUGCACAAGUCAUGACAAAAAUGUUUCUUAUAAGCAUGUCACUUUUGCGGAGUGAAUUGGGACUGCAAUUGCACACCAAAAAGGGAAGAUAGAUUUUGUAAGAAGCAUAAAUAUUUAGAAACGAAAAUUUCGCAAGAGAGGCUAGAUGAUUGUGCUGAAAGAUUUAAUUUUUUCACCAUCCUUGUGAACUUUGCAAUGAAUGUGGUCAUUUAAAUCUCCAAUGCAAAUUAUUUCAUGAUCAAAUCGUCUCCAAAAAUUGUGAUAACUUGAUUACCCUUGAGCAUCAUAAAGAGCUUAGUCUUCUUUUGGGGUAUGAAGAGAUGAAAUGUAUAACUAAGGGUAUUCCAAAAUUUAAUCUCGAGAGAUUUCUUGAUUUUGAUCUAGAGGAAAUCUAUAUGUUUUGUGCGGUAAAUUGCAUUGAGAAUCCUUAUAUUGCCAACUAUCUAAAGUCAAGAAAACAAAUAGAAUAUGAAGAGAGUACUAAUGAAAGGGAAAAUAUUUCCCAAUACCCUCCUAGUGUUUAUUAUGAUGAAUUAGGUACGAGGAGGAUCUUCCUAUCCAACCAAUCUCUUCAAUAAGAAGCUUGAAAAUAUUAAUUAAACCCACACAUGAUGUGGUGAAGAAGAAGAAAAGAAGAAAGAAUAGAGGUAAAAAGGUAUCUCUCCCAAAUAAUGUUGCUCAUAUCACCAUUGUGCCUCAUGAAAGUGAAUCAAAUAUGUUGAUGGAGGAUGAGAUAUUGAGUAUGAUUUUGUGAUACCUACUACUUUUUGUAAUGAUUAUGAUUGGGAACACAACGAUAUCCCUUAUGAUCUUGAAAAUCUUUUUAGUACUUGCUUGGAAGAAUAUGAUAAUAAUGUUUGCUAUGCUAUUGGUGCCAUUCAUGCUAUUGAUAUGAUUGUGAUGAUAUGCAAAACCACAAGCUUGGGGAUGCUAUGUUUAAUGAGUAUGAUAUGUUUGAAGAUUUAUUUGCUGGAAAUCAUGCUUGUCCUAAGCUUGGGAUGCUUUGCUUAAUGAUUAUGAUCCUUUGAUUCCUACUACUUUUGAUAAGAAAAUUUAUUAUGAUGAUAGCAUGCCUCCUAUUUAUGAUGAUUAUAUUGAUGAAAGCGGGUUUGGAAGAGUGUCAACUCUAGGUAGUAGUGAUCCCACUUGAGGGAGUCCUGGAUUAGGGGGUGUCCGGAUAGCCAGACUAUAACCUUUGGCCGGACUCUCGGACUAUGAAGACACAAGAUUGACGACUUCGUCCCAUGUCCGGAUGGGACUUUCCUUGGCGUGAAAGGCAAGCUUGGCAAUACAGAUAUGUAGAUCUCCUCCCAUUCUAACCGACUCUGUGCAACCCUAGCCCUCUCCGGUGUCUAUAUAAACCGGAGGGUUUUAGUCCGUAGGACGAACAACAAUCAUACCAUAGGCUAGCUUCUAGGGUUUAGCCUCUUUGAUCUCAUGGUAGAUCUACUCUUGUACUACCCAUAUCAUCAAUAUUAAUCAAGCAGGAGUAGGGUUUUACCUCCAUCAAGAGGGCCCGAACCUGGGUAAAAACAUUGUGUCCCUUGUCUCCUGUUACCAUCCGCCUAGACGCACAGCUCGGGACCCCCUACCCGAGAUUCGCCGGUUUUGACACCGACAUUUGUGCUUUCAUUGAGAGUUCCUCUGUGUCAUCACCUUUAGGCCCGAUGGCUCCUCCGAUCAUCAACAACGAUGCGGUCCAGGGUGAGACCUUUCUCCCCGGACAGAUCUUCGUGUUCGGCGGCUUUACACUACGGGCUAAUUCGCUUGGCCAUCUGGAGCAUAUUGAAAGCUACGCCCCUGGCCAUCAGGUCAGAUUUGGAAGUUUGAACUACACGGCCAACAUCCGCGGAGACUUGAUCUUUGACGGAUUCGAGCCACAGCCGGGCGCGCCGCACUGUCACGAUGGGUAUGACCUAGCUCUGCCGCCGAACAGUACCCUAGAGGUCGCGCCCGCAUCAGCUCCGACCCUUAGCUCGGAGCCAACUGCUCCGAUCGAGGACGGGUGGCUAGACACCGCCUCAGGGGCUGCAGUCUCAACGGUGAUCGAGCCGAACACCAGCCUCAUCCUCUGCGAAGCCCGUGACUCCAAGGUGCCAGACUCUUUUCUGGACUCCGAACCUUCCACGCCCCUGCCAAUCGAAUCCGAUUGGGUGCCGAUCAUGGAAUUCACCGCCGCGGAUAUCUUUCAGCACUCGCCCUUCGGCGACAUUCUCAAUUCACUAAGGUCUCUCUCUUUGUCAGGAGAACCCUGGUCGGACUAUGGCCAACAGGAUUGGGUUGCGGACGACGAAGAAAUUCGACGCCCACCCACCACCCACUUCAUAGCCACUGUUGAUGAUUUAACCGACAUGCUCGACUUCAACUCCAAAGACAUCGACGGUAUGGACAAUGAUGUAGGAGACGAACAUGAACCAGCGCCUAUAGGGCACUGGAAAGCCACCUCGUCAUAUAACAUAUAUAUGGUGGAUACACCCAAAGAAGGCAAUGGCGACGGAACAACGGGGGAUGACCCCUCCAAGAAGCAACCCAAGCGCCGGCGUCAGCGGCGCCGCUCUAAGUCCCUCUGAAGCAAAAAUGGUGAUGCCGGCACGGGAGAUAAUAACACCCUGGACAGUGCCGAAGACAAUUCCCUCCAGCAAGAUUCAGCGCAGGAGGAUGGAGAAGCCAGCCCCCCUGAGAGAGCGGCAGACAGAGAAGAAGAGGAUGAUAAUUACAUGCCUCCCUCUGAAGACGAGGCAAGCCUCGGCGACGACGAAUUUGUCGUGCCUCAGGAUCCCAUCGAACAAGAGCACUUUAAGCGCAGGCUUAUGGCCACGGCGAGUAGCCUUAAGAAAAAACAGCAACAACUUAGAGCUGAUCAAGACUUUCUAGCCGACAGAUGGACGGAAGUCCUUGUGGCCGAGGAAUACGAACUCGAACGCCCCUCCAAGAGCUACCCAAAGCGCAGGUUGCUACCCCGUUUAGAGGAGGAAGCACUUAAGCCUACAUCACCAGCGCAUGAUGCGGCUGACCGGCCACCUCACGGCCGCGACAGAGAGUCCUCCCGGCCCUCCACUCAAGCCGCACCCCGGCAUCGCUCAAAAAAUACCAAGGCACGGGGAAAUGCACUAGACCUGCGAGAUAUGUUGGAAGAUAGGGCAAGGCAAACAAGAUUGAUCUACGGAUCGCACGGGCGCCCCACGACACGAGACGAUAACCGUCACACCGGAUACAGUAAAUCCGGCCGGGCCGAACACAGCAGACAAAGCUCAUUUGAGCUACAUAAUGAUAUAACCCAGUACAGAGGCGCCGCACACCCACUAUGCUUCAUAGAUGAAGUAAUGGAUCAUCAAAUCCCAGAGGGUUUCAAACCCGUAAACAUUGAAUCAUACAAUGGCACAAUAGAUCCUGCGGUAUGGAUCGAGGACUAUCUCCUUCAUAUCCACAUGGCCCGUGGCGAUGAUCUACAUGCCAUCAAAUACCUCCCACUCAAGCUUAAAGGACCAGCUCGGCAUUGGCUUAACAGCCUGCCAGCAGAAUCAAUUGGUUGUUGGGAGGACCUGGAAGCCGCAUUCCUCGACAAUUUCCAGGGCACUUAUGUGCGAACACCAGACGCCGAUGACCUGAGCCACAUAAUUCAGCAACCAGAAGAAUCUGCCAGACAAUUCUGAACACGGUUCCUAACCAAGAAAAAUCAAAUCGUCGACUGUCCGGAUGCAGAGGCCCUAGCAGCCUUCAAGCAUAACAUCCGUGAUGAGUGGCUCGCCCGGCACAUUGGACAGGAAAAGCCAAAAUCUAUGGCAGCCCUCACGACACUCAUGACUCGCUUUUGCGCGGGAGAAGACAACUGGCUGGCUCGUAGCAAUAACAUGACCAAGAGCCCUAGUAAUUCGGAUACCAAGGACAAUAAUGGCAGGUCGCGUCGCAACAAGCACAAGUGCCGCAUUAACAGCGACAACGCUGAAGAUACGACAGUUAAUGCCAGAUUCAUAGGCUCUAAGCCCGGUCAGCGGAAAAAGCCAUUUAAGAGGAACACUCCGGGCCUGUCCAGUUUGGACCGUAUACUCGAUCGCUCAUGCCAGAUACAUGGCACCCCCGAAAAACCAGCCAAUCACACCAACAGGGAUAGUUGGGUGUUCAAGCAGGCCGACAAGUUAAAUGCCGAAAACAGAGACAAGGGGCUGCACAACGACGAGGACGAAGAGCCCCGACCGCCGAACAAUAGUGGACACAAGGGCUUCCCCCCACAAGUGCGGACGGUGAACAUGAUAUACGCAACCCACAUCCCUAAAAGGGAGCGGAAGCGUGCACUCGGGGACGUAUACGCGUUGGAGCCAGUCACCCCAAAGUUCAACCCAUGGUCCUCCUGCCCGAUCACUUUUGAUCGAAGGGACCACCCCACUAGCAUCCGCCAUGGCGGAUUCGCCGCAUUGGUUCUAGACCCAAUCAUUGACGGAUUUCACCUCACUAGAGUCGGACGGCGACAGCAGCCUGAACUUGCUUUAUCAGGAUACAGUGCGGAAAAUGGGCAUAGAUCCCUCAAGGAUUAAACCCACAAAAACAACCUUUAAAGGCGUCAUACCAGGUGUAGAGGCCAACUGUACAGGCUCAGUUACACUUGAAGUGGUCUUCGGAUCCCCGGAUAAUUUCCGAAGCGAGGAGUUAAUCUUCGACAUAGUCCCGUUCCGCAGUGGCUAUCACGCACUGCUCGGACGAACCGCAUUUGCAAAGUUCAAUGCGGUGCCACACUAUGCAUAUCUAAAGCUCAAGAUGCUAGGCCCUCGAGGAGUCAUUAUGGUCAAUUGAAACACCGAACGCUCUCUCCGAACGGAGGAGCACACGGCGGUCCUCGUAGCGGAAGUACAAAGCAGCCUCUCAAGGCAAUUCUCCAGUCCGACUAUUAAAUGCCCAGACACCGUCAAGCGCGCCCGGAGUAACCUACAACAAGACUGCUUGGCACGUUCCGAGAAAGCGUAGCAAUACGGCCCCAACCCCAGCCCUCACGAAAUUGUGAAAUCAGUACUACGCGUACAUAACUACGCUCUGAAAAUACCAUGGGCACAGGGGGAGGGGCACGACCACGGCACGCCCAAAAAUGCGGCUCAACCGCACUAGGGGCUCCCAAUUUUUUCAUUAUUUCCUACUUUCAGGACUCCACUCUUCAGAAGGCCUGUCCAGCAGUACAACCGCCGAACACACGAUGCAACAACCAAGGAGGCAGAAAGCUACGUCGAAUUCCCAGGUGGUCUCUAUAACGAGCAAAAUACCUGUCUUACAUACCGUCUCGCAGCUCGCCCCUAGAGGAGGACAUGUCAAAUAGUCCCAUCUCUUGCUUAUCGCACUAUUUGUAUCAUUCUGCUUUCACAGCAGCCUUUUAAAAUAAACAAUGCUUAGCUUCAGCUUAUUAUUGCAUUCUCUAUUCAUUUAUUUUUCAAUACAUAUGUUCAGUUAUGACAUUUAGCACCCGUACACUUUGGUAUGGUCCAUACGCCAGGGGCUCAAGCACCCCAUAAUACGGCGUGAGAAGUCCGAACACUUUCACAAAGUGCGGCCCUCCAAACUUAUAGCAUUAUAUGCAUCAGCUCUGAAUCAUGUCUUUGGUCAAUAGUUGGGUUUGCCCGGCUCCCAUGUUUUGGUACUUUACAUUCCGCUAUAUCGGCUAAGGUAGCGCUGGGAGAACUACUGCGAUUGUGCCCCGGUUGAGCUGGGCUAAGCACCUCAAUAGAGAAAGCUAAAACUGACUGUCAUGAUCGGGCGAGAGCUGGUCGCUGUUCGGGAGGUUUCGAGUCCCUAAAGACUUAUGCCGCUUAGAGAGAGGAGUCGGCUUUGUCCGGCCUAGGCGUGUAUAGCGCCCCGAACUCGGUCUUCCGAACACUAGGGGCUUCGCCAAAAUUUAAAGUUAUAGAAUUCUCUGGCUAAGUGAGAGUGAUAACGCAUUAUAGUCCGAUUGGCUUGUUCGUUGUGCUGAGCACCUCCCUCGAAGGACCCAAGAAUGGGAAAAGAGUGCUCAGGUUUAUCCCGAACACCCCAGCAAUCGUGGCACGGGGGCAGAAGCCGACGACUCGCCAUCUCUCAGACUCGAUAAACGGCCGCAUAGAAGGUAAUAUUUUAAAUUAAAACAAGCUUUGCAUAGCGCAUAUGAACAAGUUUUCAGCGCACAGGAUAAAACGAACAAGUUCACUCAAAUAUUACAUCUUUGGAACAUUCGUCCGCCACAAGGCGGUCGCCCUUCAGGACGCCCUCAUAAUACAUCUCAGGGUGGCGAUGCUCCUUGCCCUGCGGUGGCCCGUCCUUCACAAGCUUCUCCGCAUCCAUCUUGCCCCAGUGCACUUUAGCACGGGCAAGCGCCCUACGGGCACCUUCGAUGCAGACGGAGCGCUUGACGACUUCAAGCCACCGACAGGCAUCCACCAGCCGCCUCACUAGCCCGAAGUAGCUCCCAGGCAGGGCCUCUCCAGGCCACAGCCGAACUAUAAGGCCCUUCAUGGCCUGUUCGGCCACCUUAUGGAGCUCGACCAGUUGCUUCAGCUGGUCGCUCAAGGGCACUGAGUGUUCGGCCUCAGCAUACUGAGGCCAGAACACCUACUCCGUCGAGCUGCCCUCCUCGGCCCGGUAGAAGGCGGCGGCAUCAGACACGCUACGGGGCAAAUCUGCGAAUGCUCCUAGAGAGCUCUGGAUUCGGGUAAGUAACAAGUAAUUCACUUUCACGUGCUUGCUUUGCAUAAAGAAUGCCUUACCCGCCACUAUCUUCUUCAUCGCCUCAACUUCCUGGAGGGCUUUCUGGGCUUCGGCCUUGGCAGACUUGGCGCUUUCAAGGGCCGCGGAGCUCGGACUCUCGCGUCUUUGAGUCAAACUCCAAACUCUCAUGUUUUUCCAUGAGAGCCUGGAGCUCUUGCUGCACCUCGCCAAUCCGCGCCUCAUGUUUCUCCCGCUCGGUGCGCUCCAUGGCCGCCUUCUUUUUGGCCUCGGAAAGCGCUUGCUUAAGGGUUGCCACCUCAGUCGUGGCCCCUAGGACACCAAUAGCGAUCCUGUCAUUUUUUGCAACUGCAUCUUUUUAAAUAUACUCCACAAGGUAUUACUUACCUUCUUUUUCCUCGAGCUCCUUUUUAGCAAGGCUGAGCUCUUGCUCGGACCGCUCGAGGCUCUGCUUCAGCGCAUCCACCUCCACAGUCAAUGCGGCAGAGGCCAGCAGUGAAGCCUGCAAACGCAUAUUGACUUAAUUAUGUUAGACUCCUGCGAAUGUUGUUAGAUCCUCUAUUCGGCUUUUCUUUCUGAACGCCAAACAGAGCAUCAGGGGCUACUAUCUAUGCGGUAACAUUUUCACAUAUUUUUCACAUACCUCAAAGCCUGUUAGCAGGCUGGCACAGGCUUCAGUCAGCCCGCUUUUGGCAGACUGAACCUUCUGGAUCACCGCACUCAUAAUAUUGUGGUGCUCCUCGUCGAUGGAGGCGCCGUUAAGCACCUCUAGCAAAUUAUCCGGUGCCUCCGGUUGGACGGAGGUCACCAAUGUCGUAGGCUUGCCCUUCUUACUAGGGGGCCGCCUGCCGGACUUCGGAACCAUUGAAGGUUCCGGUGCGGUGUCCGGCCCAGGGCCGGACUUGGAGCCCUUGGGUUUUUCCCCUUUGCGCCUGGAGUCCGGGAGGUCGCCUUGCGGCGCCUCCAGGACCACCUCCUCCUGGCUUGGAACCUUUUGGGACAACACCUCGGCGUCGUCCGUUGGGCGGGGGGAGGUAGCAGUCGAAAGUGAAAAACUAUUCACAUCCGACGAAUCCAGGAAGCCGCUCGACGACACGUCGAGCCGGGCUUUGGGCAGACUGCAUAAUUAUAUUCAGCGUCAGGAGAAGCUAUGCAAUAAAGGAAUGCCAUGAGUCACUCAAGUAUCCGAAUACUUACGAUUUUGCCAGGGGAUUGGCCCUGAGCGGCCACUCCUCUUCGCCGUCGUCGGCAUUGGUGGAGUAGUCCGUAGGGAGGGUCCUCCCUUUCUUGGAUCCUCCGGCCUCCCCAGUUGGGGAGGCCUUCCUUUUCUUUUCUCCCCCUGCUGGGGAAGAAACCUCUCUUUCCUCCUCCUCGUCUUCGUGGGAGGAGUGAGCCUCGGAGUCAUUGGACGAUGAGUCCGACUCCACCGGGCGCCGGGAACUCUUCCGGGUUCCCAUGGCCUUCUUCUUGGCCUUCUUCUCCGGCACCACGUAAGGUGCCAGAACCAGCAGCUCCGCCAAGCGGGCAUCCGCUGGGUCUAUGGGCAAAGGAGCCAGACAGUUGAUCUAUUCGGCCGUCCUCUGCCAGUCCUGUCAAAGGCAUGGGGGCUUAGAUCCCGCAUAGAGUCAAACUAUGAAAGACAAAUAUCCUGUAAGAGGUAAAAAUAGCUUACCGCGUUGGCUUGAUGCUGCGCGCUGAAUCCGCGAUCCUUGGUAGCGGAUGCGGGAGCCUCGACGCCCUUGAAUAGCACCUUCCAGGCAUCUUCGUACGUUGUGUCGAAGAGCCUGCUCAGAGUUCGGUGCUGGGCCGGGUGGAACUCCCACAAGCUGAAAUCCCGUUGUUGGCACGGGAGGAUCCGGCGGAUGAGCAUGACCUGGACUAUGUUAACAAGUUUGAGCUUCUUGCUCACCAGGUUUUGGACGCAUGUUUGGAGUUCGGUCAGCUCUCCUUUUUUACCCCACGGCAGGCCCUUCUCUUUCCAGGAGGUGAGCCGCGUAGGGAUUCCGGAUCGGAACUCGGGGGCUGCGACCCAUUCAGGGUCACGCGGCUCGGUGAUGUAGAACCACCCCGAUUGCCACCCCUUUAUGAUCUCCACAAAGGAGCCCUCGAGCCAUAGGACGUUGGGCAUCUUGCCCACCAUGGCGCCUCCGCACUCCGCCUGGCGGCCGCCCACUACCUUCGGCUUGACAUUGAAGGUCUUCAGCCAUAGGACGAAGUGGGGCUGGAUGCAGAGGAAGGCCUCGCACACGAUGAUGAACGUCGAGAUGUUGAGGAUGAAGUUCGGGGCCAGAUCGUGGAAGUCCAGGCCGUAGUAGAACAUGAGUCCCCGGACAAAUGGGUGGAGAGGGAAGCCUAGUCCGCGGAGGAAAUGUGUGAGGAACACCACCCUCUCAUGGGGCCUGGGGGUGGGGAUGAGCUGCCCCUCGUCUGGGAGCCAGUGCGCAAUGUCGUCAGACAAGUACCCGGCUUUACUCAGCUUCUUGAUGUGUCCCUCCAUAACGGAGGAGACCGUCCACUUGCCUCCCGCUCCGGACAUGGCUGGAGAAGGUUGAGGUGGGGAAUGCGGACUUGGGCGCUGGAGCUUGAGUGCGUGAAAAUGGAUGCGCAAGGGAGGAAGAAGGCGUGGAUGGAAAGGCGGAUCCUUAUCCCCUUAUAUGGGCGGACGAAACUAUGCGUCCCCACCAGCCUGGUAAAACUCGCUUAUCUCCCAAGUGCCGUAAUCAAUGGUGCGGUUGGGUUACCCACGCCCGUAUUGAUGAGAAUCUCGGGAUAAGGGGACACGAUCUCUGCUUCGACAAGACGUGCCAAGGAAACUGCCUCACAAAACGCGCUGAGGUGGGACAUUAAAAACGGUUCAAAUAAAGGCUUGGCUGUGGCGUGAUGACACGCUGCGGAAUACAUCAACAGAUUAGAUUUGUGUAAAUAUUAUUCUCUCUACGACAAUAUGUGGAACUUAUUUUGCAGAGCCGGACACUAUCCUUGUGUUCAAAAUCUUCUAUGAAGUAUCCGGAGGAGGAACCCGCCUUGCAAUGCCGAAGACAAUCUGCGCGCCAGACUCGUCGUCAUUGAAGCCUGGUUCCGGGGCUACUGAGGGAGUCCUGGAUUAGGGGGUGUCCGUAUUUGGCCGGACUCUCGGACUAUGAAGACACAAGAUUGAAGACUUCGUCCCGUGUCCGGAUGGGACUUUCCUUGGCGUGGAAGGCAAGCUUGGCAAUACGGAUAUGUAGAUCUCCUCCCAUUGUAACCGACUCUGUGUAACCCUAGCCCUCUCCGGUGUCUAUAUAAACCGGAGGGUUUUAGUCCAUAGGACGAACAACAAUCAUACCAUAGGCUAGCUUCUAGGGUUUAGCCUCUUUGAUCUCGUGGUAGAUCUACUCUUGUACUACCCAUGUCAUCAAUAUUAAUCAAGCAGGAGUAGGGUUUUACCUCCAUCGAGAGGGCCCGAACCUGGGUUAAAAACAUUGUUUCCCUUGUCUCCUGUUACCAUCCGCCUAGACGCACAGUUCGGGACCCCCUACCCGAGAUCCGCCAGUUUUGACACCGACACCACUAUUUUGGAGGGUGUUGAAUCUUGUUACAUCCAUUAUGCAUCCACUAUUUUGGAAGAGGUUUCAAUUGACUAUGACAAUAAAGUUGCUAUCUAUGAUGAUUAUUAUGAUGACAUCUAUGCCAUAAAGAGUGAUAAAUAUUCUAUUCUUGUGCAUCAUGAAAAGAGUGUUGUAUGUGAUAGUUAUAUUGUUGAAUCCAUUCAUGAUGUUUCUGAAAAUUAUUAUGAGGAAGGAACUUAUGCUCUUACCUACCUCAAUAAUAUCAAGUUUCUUCUCUAUGUGUUGAUUGUUUUGAAGUUGCACUUGUUUUGCCUUCCUAUGCUAGUUGAUUCUUGCUCCCAUGAGUUGUUUGCUCACAAAAUCCCUAUGCAUAGGAAGUGGGUUAGACCUAAAUUUGCUAGUCAUAUGCUUCAUGAUGCUCUCUUCAUGUUUCAAUUCUUAUCUUUUAUGCGAGCAUCAUUGAAAUCAUCAUACCUAGCUUAAAAGGCACAAAAAAAGCGCUUGUUGGGAGACAAACCAACACUUUUACCUACUGUUUUUGUGUGUUCACAUGAUUAUGCUACUGUACUAAUCAUGUUUUAUAGCUUUUGUUUCAAUAAAGUGCCAAGUAAGACAUUUGGGAUGACCUAUGGUGAUAGUUGAUUUGAUCUUGCUGAAAAACAGAAACUUUUGCGCUCAGGAAAAAAAUCUUAUUUUUAACAGAAGUGUGAUAAAAUUCUGAUUCUUUUUGUAGAAGAUUAAUAGACAAAAUUUUCAGGUUGUCCUAAUUUUUCAGAAUUUUUGGAAUAGCAGAAGUAUGGUUGGAGUACAGAUUACUAAAGAUUGUUCUGUUUUUGACAAAUUCUGUUUUCAAUGCAUAGCUUGCUUGUUUUCAAGUUUCUAUGGCUUAUAUUAAUCAAUAUAAAUUGUGGAAAUGUUAUGCUACAGUAGGCAUUGUGUGAGAAAAAUUAUGAAUCUUGACUUUGGUAGUACCAAAAGUGAAAUGGUUUGCUCUUUAUCAUACUAACCUAUCACACAAAGUUCCGUUAAGUUUUGUGUGAUUGAAGUUUCCAAGUUUUGGGUGAGAUGUCGAUAUGAGGAGAAUAAGGAGUGACAAGACCCUAAGAUUGGGGAUUCCCGAGGCACCCCAAGGAAAUAUUCAAGGAAGAUCCAAGCAACUAAGCUUGGGGAUGCGCCGGAAGUCAUCCCCUCUUUCGUCUCCAACAUUAUCGGUAACCGCACUUGGAGCUAUGUUUUCAUUCGUCACAUGAUAUGUUUUUUGCUUGGAGAAUCAUUUUAUUUUGCUAGGAUUUGCUUGCUGUUAUUUAUAAUAAUUUUUUGCAUCUUUUAUUUCAAUAAAAGUGGCAAUGAUAGCCUUUGCCAUGCUUAUUUUGCAAGUAUACAUGUUGCUGUUUGAAAACAGAAAGUUUAGCGCUGUUGCAAAAAUUCCCUAGAAACAUCAGAAUGCGAUAAAAUGUUGAAACUUUUUGAAAAAUAAGCUCUGGUAAAUUUUAUACAGUGUGGUAAAUUUUCAUAAAUUUUGGAGUUUAAGAAGUAUUGAUACUCUUGCAUUCUUUACAGACUGUGCUGUUUUGGCAGAUUGCUGUUAUGUUUGCAUUGUUUGCAUAUGUUUGCUUGUUUAAUGAUUCUAUUUGAGGAUAGGAGUAUUAAAUAUGCAGAGGAAUUUAGUAUGCAAUGUUUAAUAAUAAUUUUUGUGAUUUGCUACAGUAGAUAAUGAUAAGGUUUUUGCAUUGGUUUAUACUAACUUAUCUCACGAGUUCUUGUUGAGUUUUGUGUGGAUGGAGCUUUGAGAUUUAGGAAAACCGUGAUAUGAGAGGAAUUAAGGAGACACAAAAGCUCAAGCUUGGGGAUGCCCAAGUCAUCCCAAGAUAAUAUUUCAAGAAGUCUCAAGCAUCUAAGCUUAGGGAUGCCCCGGUAGGCAUCCCACCUUUCUUCUUCAACAAUUAUCGGUUAGUAUCGGUUGAGCCUAAGUUUUUGAUUCUUCACAUGAGGUGUGCUGUCCUUGGAAUGUCAUUUUACUUUGUUUUGCUUGCUGCUUUAAUAAAUUUCUUAGAUCUGAAAGUUUUUAAAUAAAAUAGAGUCCUCAAAUCGUUGCCAGGAGGCUAAGUAAGUGACAUUCACAUCCCAUCAACGAAGCUCUUUUUUAUGUCUUUUACUCAUGUGCUUCACUUAUAUCCUAUGAGUAAAUUGUUGAAUAAAUUGAAUGUCAUGAAGUUGAAAUCAUAUCAUGCCUAGUGGUAGCCUCACAUUGGGUUCAGAAAGUGAAAUCUUUUGAGGCUUGACAAUCACAAUAUUGGUCAUACAAGCAAUUCCCUAAUAAUUAGUAUAAGGAAGAUAAAUUUCACAUAUAAAUACACUAUCAUGGAAAUAUUUUGUGACUGUGAGCGCCCAUAAAAAUAUUAUAUGCCAAAAUUGUUGACGUUGGACAAGGAAGAUAAUGUAAUGGUUUAUGUUUUUUCAUAUUCACAUAGAAGUUAUAUUGUCAUAGAUCCUUCAACAUGUGGUGCUUGCCCCCCAUCUUUGCUAGCCAAAAAUUUCCGCACCAAGUAGAGAUACUACUUGUGCAUCUUAAACCCAAAUCUUAUUUUUCAAGAGUCCACCAUACCUACCUAAGGAUUGAGCAAAAUCCUUCAAGUAAGUUGUCAUCGGUGCAAUAAGGCAAUAAAAAUUGCUUCUAAAAGUGUAAGGUCAUUUAGUGUAAGAAAAAAUUGAGCGUUGUACGAACUUGUGAUGGUAAAGCAAUAAAAGUGACAGACUACAUAAUAAAGGUUGCUAUCACAAGGGGCAAUAUAACGUGACGUUCUUUUUCACUAAGGGAUUGAGCAUACAAACAAAUAAGCGCAUGGCAACCUCUGCUUUCCUCUACGAAGGGCCUAUCCUUUACUUUUCAGUAUUUACUUUUAUGCAAAGAGUCAAAGUAUUCCUCUCUAUUCCUUUUUAUUUUCUCUUUUGGUAAGCAUCAUGUGGCGAGGAAAGAUCUAGGCACAUAUGUCAGUUGAAUAUGGGUAGCAUGAGUUAUUAUUGUUGACAUCACCCUUGAGGUGAAUACAUUGGGAGGCAAAACAAUAAGCCCCUAUCUUUCUAUGUGUCCGGCUGAAACGUUUUGCUCAUGUGUAUGCGGUGAGUGUUAGAAAUCAUAGAAGACUAUAUGAUGGUUGAGUAUGUGGAGCUCUUACUUAAACUCUGUUGAAUAAGUUGAAUUGCAAUUGCUUGGUGACUAAGAACAUAGGUUGUUGGGUUUCAAGAGAAUUCAUUGUUUGAACCUUAACAUGUGAAUUGGUUGCCACGAUAACAUGAGAAGUUUUAUAAUAAAGAAUUGCUGUUAUGAUGCUAGGAAAAGUGAUUGAAAUUAUCAUUGAUCAAACUUAUGCACUUUGCUAGCAUUCACACUUCAGAAAUUAUUUCUUUUAUCAUUUACCUACUCGAGGACGAGUAGGAAUUAAGCUUGGGGAUGCUGAUACGUCUCCAACGUAUCUAUAAUUUAUGAAGUAUCCAUGCCAAUAUAUUAUCAUUCUUGGAUGUUCUACAAUCAUUUUAUAGCAACUUUAUGUCACUUUUUGGGACUAACCUAUUGAUGCAGUGCCUAGUGCCAGUUGUUGUUUUUGCUUGUUUUUUACAUCGCAGAAAAUCAAUAUCAAACAGAGUCCAAACACCACGAAAUUUUAUGUGGAUUUUUAUGGGCCAGAAGACUCCCGAUGGGCCAAAGCAACACCUGGGGGGGGUGCCUCGAGGGGGCACAACCCACCAGGGCACGCCAGGGCCCCCUGGCGCGCCCAGGUGGGUUGUGCCCACCUCGGUGGCCUCCCGUACCCCUUCUUUGCACUAUAAAUUCCCAAAUAUUCCGAAACCCCUCGGGGUUAACCUAGAUCAAAAGUUCCGCCGCUGCAGGCCUCUGUAGCCACCAAAAACUAAUCUAGACCCGUUCGGGCACCCUGCCGGAGGGAGGAAUCAUCUCCGGUGGCCAUCUUCAUCAUCCCGGCGGCCACCACGAUGAGGAGGGAGUAGUCCACCCUCAGGGCUGAGGGUUUGUACUAGUAGCUAUGUGUCUAUUGUCUCUCUCUCGUGAUCUAUAUCAUGGGCUUUGUUAAUAUAGUCGGAUCAUAUGAUGUUUCUCCCCUCUAUACUCUUGUUGUGAUGAAUUGAGUCUUUACCCUUUGAAGUUUUGUCUUGUCGGAUUGAAUAUUCAGAUAUGAGAACACAUGAUGUAUGUCUUGCGGUAUGAAUACUUGAGGUGACAAUGAGGUAUCAUAUUGAUUCACUUGAUAUGUGUUUUGGCAUUCAAUUUGUAGAUUCCCGCGGUUAUAUUUGGGUAAUCUAUGCAUAUCGGUUGAUGCACGUUUUUAUUAUCUUUUCUCCAAUAGAAACUUUGGGGUCUCUUGGUAGUUCUUUGUGUGGAUUGAGUAUUAUGAAUAUGAAUAUGCUUUGGUGUUAUUCUAGUACGAACUCUAGGAUAGAUCGAACGGAAAAAAUAGCUUCGUGUUAUUUUAAUACGAACUCUUGAAUAGAUCGAGUGGAAAGAAUAGAUUUGAGGUGGUCUCGUACCCUACAAACAAUUCCUAUCUUUUGUUCUCUGCUAAUAGGAACUCGGGAGUGAUUCUUUGUUGCACUUUGAGGGAUAAUUAUAUGAUCCAACUAUGUUAGCAGUGUUGAGAGAUUGCACUAGCGAAAGUACGGACCCUAAGCCUCAUUUUUAAGCAUUGCAAUACCGUUUUUGUGCCCGUUUACUAUUUGCCUUGCUGUUUUAUUUAUUCAGAUUAUAAAAAUAUAUUUCUACCAUCAAUAUUACACUUUUAUCACCAUCUCUUCACCGAACUAGUGCACCUAUACAAUUUGCCAUUUUAUUGGGUGUGUUGGGGACACAAGAGAUUGCUUGUAUUUGGUUGCAGGGUCGUUUGAGAGAGACCAUAUUCAUCCUACACCUCUCACGGAUUGAUAAACCUUAGGUCAUCCACUUGAGGGAAAAUUGUUAUUGUCCUACAAAACUUUGCAUUUGGAGGCCCAACACGUAUCUACAAGAAUGAAGUUGCGUAGUACACAUCAGCCAGUUGGCUCCUGAUGAACACGACAUAUUCCAUUGCCUCCCGAUGAACACGACGCAUUCCGUUGCUUCCCCAUGAACACGACGACGACACAGUUUCUCUCUUCCGACCUAGCCAUGUACAUGAGCCCUGGCCAUACGUAUGCUCGAGUAGGCGUUCGAGACCCCGCCCCUAUGUACGUACAUGGCCGUAUUUACUUUCUUGCACCCUGGCUGGACAUACGUAUACAUGCUACGUGCGCGCCUAUACUAUGACACAUGCGCGCCUAUACUACGACACGUGCCCUUGCUUACACAGCCACGGUUCAUCGCUGCAGCCUGCAGACAGACCAAUCGUAUGCACGUACACGUUCGCGACCAGAAUGACAAUGCUACGUACGCUUCGACCAGGUGGGUCCUGACUGUCAGGCACUUCCUUGCAUGUGAAGAUGUAGCUGGUUGGUCCUAGCAGUCAGGGGGAACGUUUCUUCGUGAAAUACUGUCGCCCAUCCAGUGGGUCCCUGUUGUUGGGUGGAGGAAUAAUUAUUUUGCGCGUAAUAAGGAGGCACUUCCUUGCUCCUACCGUGGACCCAGCUGUCAGCCUCUCCACGUACAGUACUCUUCCGAUGGAAGUCGUUCCUUGACCACGUUGACCACGCCAUGUCGAGAGCACCAAGGCGGUGGAUGGCGGCGAGGCCUAGGAAGGGGACGACGUGGAGCCGGGGAAGACACGACAGUGGAUGCCCACGCGGAUGGGAGUACAUGGGUUGACUGGUUUGCUACGGUGUGAGGCUGCCGUCGCCGGAGAAUAACAGGAGGUGUGGGUGAGUAUAGAGGGAUGGCAUGGCCAGCGGUGGCAGCACAACCGGACAUGGGAGGCAGGAGCAGGCGGCACGACCGACGCUGGUUUGGGCGGCUAGAGCAAGAAGACCAGAGGUUGAAGAAGCACUGCGGCCGUUGGAUGGACAUCGUAUGGUCACUGGAGCUAGAAUCGUUCAUAUUGACUAAGUUGACAAAGCCCUCCAUCCCCGUCAACUUAGUAGGCCCACAAGUCAGCCUCACACUAUGGUGGGUCCUAGCUAGCAGGGGGAGUAUUCAUUUUUUGUGCAUAAUAAGGAGGCACUUCCUUGCGUGCGAAGAUAUAGCUAGCGGGUCCGAGCUGUCAGCGGGGGAACUUUUUUUUUUU